UGAUGCGUACUUUCAAAACAGUCAGGUCUUAGUAAAAGACUACUUUCAAAACAUUCGGGUCUUGGUAGAAGACUACUUUUAUACUAGUAGGAAAUAUGGGAUUUUCUAGAGUUUUCAUACUUAUACUAAAUGUUUCAUCAAUCAUUCGCCAGAAUUUCAUAUCAAAAAAUGAAAGCAAUGACAUUAAAUAUUUAUGAACUCACAAGCUUAAAUGUUGACCUACACUUUCAAAAUAACUUGUAUUCUCAGGUUACAAAUAGAAAGGUGUCGAUGCAAGGUUUAGAGAAGACGGAGCAUUCAAGACUCGUCUUUUAUUUUUAUCAGUUAUCAUGUUGUCUUGUACUAUGAAAGAAUACACUUGUAACUAAAAUUAUACUAUUAAUGCAAUGGACGAUGUUGUUGCUUGUUUACUACUUUACAUUUGUUGUGAUGCAUACAUGACGUCCUCCGCCCCAGAACGUUUCCGCCGUUCUCGGUUUUGGGGUGUGACAUGAUGAGUCCGCGGUUAUACCCUUGGAUGACAUUCAGGUGGAUAGGGGAUUGAAUUAUGUCGAAAGCCCAAUUUCCAUACUAGACAGGAUGACGAAGACGCUUCAGAAUAAGGAGGUAAAGAUGGUAAAGGUGCAAUGGCAACAUCGAAGGGGCUCCGAGUGGACUUGGGAGCCCGAGGAGGAGAUGCGGGAACAUUACCCUGAUCUGUUUGUGUCCACCGACUUCGAGGGCGAAGUCUAGUUCAAGUGGGGGAGAGUUGUAACAUCCAAAAUAAAAAGGUAUGUCAUGAACCCCCUUUAAAAUUUGAAUUGUUGCAUUUUUGGUCCCUUAGUACGCUGGGCGUACCUAGGAGUACGUUUAGCGUACUAGGGCCUUUUAUGGACGCGGGUGUUGGGAGGUAUGCUGGGCGUACCAGGGUGUACGCGGGGCGUACACGUCAGGGGCCAGAAAACCGUAAUGACGGACUUGAGGCCUAUAUAAACGACUUUAAGCCCUUGGGGCUAAACCUCGGAGAGCCUCCACUACCCUUAAACGUCAUUCUACUGUUGGGAGCUUUAAGGAAUCAUUUUGUGAGCUCUUAAGGUGUGUUUUUGUGCUCUCUAGUGUUCAUUUCAAAGAGAAGGGUUGGUCUAGCAAGCUUGGAACAGGAGGGAGCUUCAAGAUCCUGCAUCAUAAUCAUAUUUCAGAGCUUUUGGAGGUAAAAAGCUUGCACCUUUCCUUUUUGCUCUUUAGUUUUAGCUAGGGUUUUUGUAGUUGGUCCUCUUGAUGGAUUUUGGGCCUCAUUUGUUGGCUAGAACGUCCCCAUUCGUAAAUAAGGUCAGAUCUGGGGUCCUUAAACAAUUUGAGGGUAUAAAAAUAGGAUCUUGGUGGAAUUCAUAACCUUGUGCAUGAAUGAGAGGCUUGAGAAUGGUCUUAAUGAUGUCUUUGGGGGCUUAAUGGACAUGCAAAGGCAUAAAGUUAGCAACUUUAUGCCCUAAGAGGUAUUAAAGGACUCAGAUCUAGAUUUUGGUCGUAAAAGAAUGAAGUAAUAAGCACUUAAUAGAGAAAGUGCUUAACUGAGACUUACGUCGGGCGUACUCCAAGUACGCUGCGCGUAACCCCUGAAGACCCGGUACGCUAAGCGUACCUGGAGCGUACAUUGGGCGUACGUGGAACAGUUUGGGUCAAUCGUAUUUUGGGCUAUCAAACUUUUGGGCCUCUUAUGGGUUUUUGGCAUGUUUGGAUUCUUAGGGUAAAGCCUUUUAUCAAUUGGAUCAUGGACAUAUUAAGUAGGCACAUUAAGGACAUUGGACUUAGAUCUUGGGCCCAUUUGCAAUGCAAGGGUGUUUGGGCCUUUGGGGUUAGGGUUUAAAGGUUGGGCCUUCCCUUGGGAUAACUUAUGGACCAAUCAUUGAUGAUAUUAUUAUUAUUGUUAUUAUCCAGUUGGGAGGUUACGGGUCUUUGAGAGUGCAUUACUCGUAUUCUUUGGGCAAAGGUGAGUCUUCUCACCAUACCCAUGGGUCUAUGGCACCAAGGCCGGACCAUUAUGAGGUUAUGAUUUAUGUGAUUACUCUGUGUCUUGAUAUGUAUUAUGAUCUUAUGUUUUGCAUGAAGACCCUGGGGGGAGCCCGUGGCCUUGGGUGUAAGACCAUGUGGGGUAGCCCAUGGCAGUCCAAGUAAAGACCAUGUGGGGUAGCCCAUGGCAGUCCAAGUAAAGACCAUGUGGGCUAGCCCAUGGCCUUGGGUGUAAGAUCAUGUGGGCUAGCCCAUGGCAGUCCAAGUAAAGACCAUGUGAGGUAGCCCAUGACAUUUUGUUGGUUCUUUGUAUACAUGGCUUAUAUGACUUGUACUUGUGUCUACGUAUGUGUGGUAUGCUCUUGGGAACUCACUAAGCAUUUCACUUACAGGUUGUUGAUUUGUUUCAGGUACAUCGGAGCCGAAAGGCAAGGGCAAGGCUUGAUGGCGCGGCGUGCACUCUAUCUAUCUAUAUCUUUGUUCCUUGAUAUGUUGGGGACCUACUCUAAUAUUUUAUAUAUAAUGUAAAAGACGAUGUUUUAACUAAACGUGUGUNUAAAUGAAAAAAAAAUCAUUGUAAAAAUCGAGCUGUUACAUGAUUGUAGUGUUGCAACAAGUCUAAAACGUACCUAGGUACCAGAAAAAUUCUAAAACCAAACAUAAAGUUUAAAAUACUAUAGGGGUAUUUUAUGAUGUUAUAGCAACAAAACUAAAAACUUAUCAACUUCAUAAAUCAAUAAGUUCAAGAAUCAAUCAUAUAAUUAAAAUAAUGCAGGAGUAUUUUAGGUUCCAUAAAUAACUUUUGUGAAAUUUUAAAAGACCUUUUUUGGUAGGCCUAUAAUUACUAAGUGUAUACGUUAAGGUUAUAUAUAGUUGAGAUUUUAUGGAUUUAGAAUAGGUGAUUUUCACUCUACUUCAUGUUCCUUGUUUGGUUGUGGUUUAAGAGUAGGAUCACUUAUUCGAAGGACUAUUUGAUCUGAAUUAUAUAUAAUCUGUACACACUAUGUAAUUAUAGAAAGACCGGAAAGGAUCACCUUCGUAAAAAUUUAAUUUUUAUUAAUUUCCUAAAUUCUUUAGACAUUCUCAUUCUCGUAUAAAUCACUUAGAUAGAUGUAGUCACUCUAACCAUCAACAUAAGAGUCAACCAGGAUCUAGCAGAAUUUCAUUAGGAGGAUUCCGAGAAAGAAACGGAUGAGGAAUAAAGAAACUAUAGAAAUAAUUUAGUGCCUUUACCUUAAUAAGGGCGCCGAUGAGAGGUUCACAUGAACUUUUGGGAUUCGAACUUUCCAUUAUGAAGUAAUGAGGAUCAUCGUUAGAAUCGGAAGUAAGACAAAACAGGGAUUCAAUAUACCUAGGAGGAAAUGGACACCAUAUAGAUACCAGGAGAGAAUAAACCAUUACCGCCCAGAUUAGAAUAGAGAAGAGGGGGAAACGACAUGUAUUGCAUGCGAAGUGGUUUACUAAUUCAAAAUAAAAUUAGGGUUUUAUCGCGGAAAAAGGGUUUUUCAAAUGCAUAUGUAAUCACCAAAAUGUAACAAAAUCAAACAAAAAUCAAGAGACACAUUCAAAAUAAAAUUAGGGUUUUUAUCGCGGAAAAAGGGUUUUCCAAACAAAAAAAAAUGAGAUUAAAACACUAAAUUGUUUCUUACAUUAUGUAAAGUAGGUAGAUCGGAGAUUACCAUACUAUUUUGGCAGUUCCAAAAAUGCCUCCCUAGAUUUGUAAGGCGCCAAGAGAUUCAUUUAAUAGCUGGAACGUCAUAGUAACAGACCCUCACAUCGUCUCGAAAGGGAUGUGAGUAAGUGGAAGUUGAUUCCUAGUUGUCGACAAGCUGGAAGACAUUGUAAAGAGGGUUUAAAGAAAACUUACUAAUUUGAAGCUCACAUGAAAGGUAAUAAACAAGUAUGAACCAGUCCAAAUGAGGGUUUAGUUUAUUUAGGUUGUAGGACUGCUUCAACUUCCCUAACACAUCAUUCGUCCACAUAGAUGGUCAGCCUAAUCAUAUGUAACAUGCCACUCUUCCACGUAGGAAUGACAACCGGGCAACCUUUUAAAUUUGAGAGUAAUAGUUUAAUUGGAAAGUAAAAAAGAAGUUUAAUAGUUUAUUGAGCAAAAAAAAUAGCGACCAAAUCGGAUAAAUGACUAAAGUUUAAUGUGCUACAUUGGCAUUGUCCUAUAUUUUUAUGUUGUUUGUAAAACAAUUUAAAAAAUUGUAGGAAAGUUUAAAAAUUUAUAAAAUCAUUAUAAAAAAGAUGCAAAUAUCAACCAAAAAAGUCAUAAAAAUGUAAAAGCAUUGUAAAAAGGUUGAACAAAAAGUUAUAGUUUUUUUUGUAUAUAAUAUUAAAAAAAGUUAUAAAAGUAUAAGAAAAAAAAGCUAAUUUUAGGAAUGAAUUUAUAAUUUUCUUAAAGUUUGGAUCAAACUCAUAACAAAAUUUUAUCUUUUCAUUAAAAAUUAUAAAAUUAAGAAAUAAUUUCUAUAUCUAAUAUAACAGACAACAACGAAAAAGAAAAAAAAAAAGUUUCUAUUUAACAACUUGAAUACACAAAAUAUAACUGGUUUCUAAAAAACAGUAAUAAUUAUAUUAAAAUGAUCGAUUAAUUAUUUUAUAUAAACAUGUAUAUUAUAUGUAAAUGAUGACAUAUCAACAGCCAUUCGUUAACAACGUAUUAAAAUAUCUUGGUUUUAAAUAUAAAACUAAAGAAUAUGGUUUUAAAAAUAUGUCUAAAAAAUGCUGAAAUAUAAGUAUAUAAUAAAUUUUCAAUUUUCAAAAUGUUAACAGGACUUUCUUUUAUUAAAUUAUAUUUUUAUUUUAGUUUAAAUUUCAAUGGAGUGGUUGCUUGUUCACAUCAUUCCAUAUUUUAAUUGAAUUGCUUAAUUUCUUUGGGUCUUAUGCCCCCUUAGUUAUACGUAAAUUGAAUUUACCAUAAAUACAACAGUUUAUAUNNNNNNNNNNNNNNNNNNNNNNNNNNNNNNNNNNNNNNNNNNNNNNNNNNNNNNNNNNNNNNNNNNNNNNNNNNNNNNNNNNNNNNNNNNNNNNNNNNNNNNNNNNNNNNNNNNNNNNNNNNNNNNNNNNNNNNNNNNNNNNNNNNNNNNNNNNNNNNNNNNNNNNNNNNNNNNNNNNNNNNNNNNNNNNNNNNNNNNNNNNNNNNNNNNNNNNNNNNNNNNNNNNNNNNNNNNNNNNNNNNNNNNNNNNNNNNNNNNNNNNNNNNNNNNNNNNNNNNNNNNNNNNNNNNNNNNNNNNNNNNNNNNNNNNNNNNNNNNNNNNNNNNNNNNNNNNNNNNNNNNNNNNNNNNNNNNNNNNNNNNNNNNNNNNNNNNNNNNNNNNNNNNNNNNNNNNNNNNNNNNNNNNNNNNNNNNNNNNNNNNNNNNNNNNNNNNNNNNNNNNNNNNNNNNNNNNNNUUUUUUUUUUGAAAAAUUUCAUAUAAUUCUCUAUCAAUCUACUAUUUUGUAAGUUUUAAAUAGUCAAAGUAUCAUGUUUUAGCAUUUUUAAGAAAGCUUACUUGUAUGCACUCCAACUGUUUGAUGAAAUGCAUAAACUAAAUUACCACGUUAUAUUCACAUAUGAAUAUGUUUUCGCACCUUAAUCAGUAUAUGAUUAUUAAAACACAAAACAAAUAUACAAUUUUAUAUGUUAUUCAUAUGUGAAUAACAUAUAAAAAUUAUAUAUAUUUGUGAAUAUAUCUUAUAAUAUGCAUAUGUUAAUAUCCUCUGUAAUAUUCAUAUGUGAAUAAACUGUGUAAUAUUCAUAUAUGAAUAUUCAUCUAAUAUUCAUAUAUGAAUACAUCAUCUAAUAUUCAUAAGUGAAUAUAUCAUCUAAUAUUUACAAGUGAAAAUACUAUGUAAUAUUCACAAGUGAAUGCAUCGAUUAAUAUUUAAAUAUGAAUAUCCUGCAUCAUAUUCACAAGUGUAUAUAUUAUAUAUUAUUCAUAUGUGAAUAUAUUGUGUAAUAUUUAUGAAUGAAUAUAUACCAUGCUAUACUCUUCCUAAUACCUGNGAAUCUACCAUAUAAUAUUCAUAUGUGAAUAUACUAUGUAAUAUUCAUUUGUGAAUAUACCAUGUAAAAUCACAUGUAAAUAUACAAUAUAAACAACAUAUAUCAUAUAAUAUUCACAUAUGAUUAUACAUUCAUAUGUGAAUAUACCAUGUGAUAAUUAGAAUGUGAUAAAUCGCUAUUAUUAUGAACUAAACGUAUAUUUUUAACAUUUUUUAUGUGUAUUCACAUGUUUUUCAAGCAUCGUUAUAACUCAAUAAAAGAAUAACAUUUCAAUCAAUGGUUGGUUCAUAUCUCGGUGGUUGACGAUUGGUUGACGUAAUUGAGAAGAUAUCAUUGACGAAGACGAUAUAUUUUUAUAUUCAUGUGUAAAUGUUAUACAAUUUAAUAUAUUCUUCAUUUUGAUCGUAUUAAAUUCAAAUGCAAAUGAUAUCCAUUAACCAAUACAGUGUUGUUUGUCUUAGUAUAAUGUUGAUUUUACAUGUAAAAUAAUAUUGUUACAUUAUACAAAAAAAACUAUGCACAAACCAAUUCUUAUAGUGUAUUAUUUAUUUUUAUAUAUAAAGGUUGUAUUCACAAAAUAAAUAAAUCAACAUGUAUAGUUUAUUCACAUAAAUAAAAAUAACAGAUUACAAUAACAAUGUUUUUAGUAGUAGGAUUGAAGUUAGUAACAUCAUCAGUAAAUAUGUCAUAAUGAUUUCUAAACUUUAUUCAUAUAUGAAUAAUGAUGAUGUCAUUACCGCAAUGAAAUUUAGUCUCGGAAUUGGACGAAAUUCGCAUAUUUGAUGUAAAAUGGUGCGAUUUACAAAACUCACCGCUUCGCCGUGACGUACGGUGUUUUUUGGUCAUUCGGGACUGUUUAGGACCUCAAAAUGACGUUUUUCUAUUUUUAUAAUUUUCUGAAAAAAAAAGUUAUCAUUUAUUUACAAAUGAAUAUAACAUUAAUAAAAAUAUAUAUGCUUAUAUAAUUAUUUUAUUAACCUAAAAAGAUUAGUUGUAUGUGAAUAAAUAUAUAUUCUUAUCAAAUAUUUUUUUUAUCUUUAACUUUAUAUAUUUUAUAGUCCUCGGUUUUAUUGACAGUUUUAUUCAUUUGUGAAUAAUACAUAUAUAUUCACAUUUAAUUAUUACAUAUAUAUUCAUUUGUGAAUAUUACAUAUGUUUACAUGCGGAUAUAAUUCGUAUAUGUUAUUCACAUAUGAAUUACAAACUUGCUUAGAACCUUAAAAUGACGUAUUACUUGUAUUAUGAAUAUUACAUGUAUUCAUUUGUGAAUAUUACAUGUAUUCGCAUGUGAAUAUUUUUUUUAUAUUAUUCACAUAUCAAUUACAUACUUGCUCUGUGUUUUUAAAAGAUAUACAUUAAUUCUCGUAUAAAGGCAUAUUCACUUGUGAAUAUUACGUGAUAUAUUUAGUUUAUGCAUUUCAUCGAACAGUUGGCGUGCAAAUAAAUUAAUUUAUAUAACUAUGGUAAAAAAUUCACAAUUGAAGCUAAUAAUUACAAAACAAAUCAAAUCCUAUCAAAAUCGAUUAAUAAUCAAUAGGUUUAUAUCAAAAAUUGUGAAAAAAAAUGGAUGAAAAACGAAGUUUUUCAAACUUGAAAAAUGAUUUUUAAAAAAUCUUCAAAUAUAUGGUUACGUUGAUAAACUUUCGAUUUCUACCUGUUGUUUGAUAUUGGCGAAGGUUCCUUUGAUGAAAUUUCGAUGAUUGGUGAUCACUAAAUGAUGUGACAUCGAUAAAUGUGGAUUAUUUUAAUGAUUUCGCUUGAUGUAAACGAAACUGGACAAGAUUGAAUCACGAGUUACACAUAAUAGUACAAAUAAAUGUUUUUAAUGACGAAUCACAACAUUUUGAUGAAUAAACAAAGAUUUUUGAUGAAGAAUUGAUGUUUUUAUGAAGUGUCGAUGUCUUUUUUUUAUGAAGAACAUGUGAUUUUGAUAGCGAACAAGUAGUAGAACGUAUGAUGUUGAUGAAGAACAUAUGAUGAUGAAGAACACAGAGGAAUAAUCGAGAUGAGUGAAUAACAGAUGAUGUUGAUGAAGAACAGAUAAACGAUCCAGAAGAAAUGGUAUUUGUGAUUGAAGGUUAAUAUAUCAUAUUUACAAAUUUGUCACCGUGUAUUUUAAGUUAAUAUGCUAAUUAAAUGAGUGGCUGAGAAUGAUUCCCUCAUUCUCACCUGUUCAGAUUCACAUUAUGAACCUCUUCAGAUUUAUAUUGUGAACUUUCUCAGAUUCAUAUUGUGAGUCUUCUCAUAUUCACAGUGUGCAUAAUAGUAAGUCAGAUUCAUAAUGUGAAUAUGAACUGAUCGAACUUUUUCACAUUGUGAAUGUUAAAAAUUGAAAUAUUUACAAUUUAGAUUUACAGUGUGAAUUUACACCGAUCGAUGUUUUUUUUUAGUCGGUGUUGAUGUUUAUUAAUAAAGUACAAAAAAUUAAUAUUUUUGGUAUAAUAAGUUUUUUUUAUAUAAAAAUAAACUUAAAUAUUGAAAAAACUAACAAAGUGAAUUGGGUUUUUUUUUGAAAAAUAGUUCGUUUUAUAUAUAUCAAAAUGGAUCUCUAUGGAAAGAGAACGAAAAAUCGAGAACAACGGUAUAUUUGAUUUUUUUUUCGAUAAAAAUGUGACCUAAAAAAGAUUUUAAACAAAAAAAGAAGUGGGUUUUUGGUUAGGAGAUGGAUUUUUUGGUAAAAUCCGAUGUAUUUGCAUCCAAUGUACAAGUAUACAUCUAUUUUCUUGGUCAUUGAUCAUUUUGAUUUCCGACGCUCACGAUUAGUUCGUUGGUUCCUUGUUAAUUAUGGUUCUAUAUUGAACAUCACACACACACACACACUAUAUAUAUAUAUAUAUAUGUUCAAAUGUUUUUCAUAUCUAUUAUUUUCUAGAAUGCACCAAUAAGAAUUUACUAAAGAACUCUAACCUAUUCAGUUAUGUGUCCUAAGAUAAGUGACCAUAUAAUCCUCCGUUCCACAAGAUAUCAUGUGGACAAAUGACAUGGAACAAAAUCAAUCUCAUUGUCCAAAACUUUGUAUCCCAAUUUCUGAGUUGUAAUGACAUAUAAGUUCAAAUCGAACACAUCAAUCAAGUCUUGGUCGGGCCCGACACUACAAGUCAACACCAAAUCAUCGAAGGGGCCCAAUAUAUCACUUUUCCUAUUAGCACAAAAGGAACUGAUAAACUUUGAAUUAUAUGCUUGUGCUAUUUAGUCAUCAAAUGAUGCACAUCAAUACAUUUUAUAACAUCAAGUUACUGAUGCGUUUACAUAUCAUCAAUACACAAUUGAUUCGUAAACCACGACUCAUAUAUAUGUUUAAAGAUUAUAAGACAUUAUUGUCUCAAAAUUAUUCGUGAUAAAUUCCAUGAAGUAAUUCUCUGAGCAUGGGUUAAUCCAAUAGUUAAAUUCUCCAUUUCAAAGUAAUCAUGAAUACUGCAGCAACACUAUUGCCAUGUCUAAACUCUUUAGACAAUCUACAAUCUGAUUCAUGACGAUAUUAAUUCAUUACUUACUUCCAAAAGUAUGAUCCGACUGUGGAUGUUUAAAUAAUCAAAAGUCAAAUACAUAUACUUUGUUACACGUUUAUAAAUACCUAUCUAACUACUAAAACUAAUAUCAUCUUUUAGACCAAUGCUCCUUGGUGUUGAACGUGCUUAAUCCUACUCAGACCCUUUUUGAGGGGUUCUGCAAGAUUUUCUUCUGAUGAUAUCCUCUUCACAACGAUGUUUCCUUCUACUCUAUUUAUGAUAAAAUGGUAUUUUCUAUCGAUAUGUAUUGAUCUAUCAUGAUAUAUCGGUUCCUUUGUCAAGGAAAUGGCUCCUUCAUUAUCACAAAAAAUCUCCAUUGGCUCCUGGAUGUUGGCACAACUCCAAGAACUUCGAUGAAGUUCUUCACUAAAUAGUCUCCUUCGAUGCUUCGCUUGCUGCUAUGUACUCUGAUUCACAAGUAGAAUCAGCUACCGUCUCCUGUUUGGAACUUUUCCAAGUCACGGCUCCUCCAUUUAAGGUAAACACCCAGCCAUACUGAGAACAAAAGUUGUAUUUGUCUAUCUAAAAGUUGGCGUCACUAUACCAAGUUACUUUCAAGUUAUCACUACCACCAAGCACUAGGACCCAGUCCUUAGUUCUUCGCAGAUACUUGAGAAUAUUCUUGACUAAUAUCCAAUGAGCUCUACCCAGAUUUCCCUGAUAUCGACUAACCACGCUCAAAGCAAAAGCCACAUCAGGGCGAGUACAUGUCAUAGCAUACAUGAUUGAUCCAACAGUGGAAGCAUAUGGAACUAGACUCAUUUCUUCUAUCUUUGCAUCAGUAUUCGGACUCCGUAGUGUUACUCAGUUUGGUAUUACUCUAGAUAAGCAAUUCUCCUUUCUUGAAAUUCUCCAUGAUAAAACUUCUUACACCUUUUCCAAGUAUGUACUUUGACUAAGUCCAAUUAGACGCUUUCUCCUAUCUCUCAAAAUCCUCAUCCCUAGAAUAUAAGUAGCCUCUCCCAGAUCCUUCAUAUCGAAACACUUUCCAAGCCAAGACUUAACCUCUUUCAAAGUUGGAAUGUCGUUUCCAAUAAGAUUAUGUCAUCGACAUACAAUACCAAGAAGGUUACUAUACUCCCACUAUCUUUGACAUGUACACGAUUCAUCUUCAUUUUUAUAGAAGCCAAACUCUUUGACCUUCUCAUCAAAGCAAAGACUCCAUCUGCGAGAAGCUUGCUUCAAUCCAUAGAUUGAUUUUUCAAGAUUACACAUUCUAUUGGGAUAAUUUGCAUCCACAAAACCCUCUGUAUGACUCAUGUAAACAUCCUCAGCCAAAUUCCCAUUAAGGAAGGCAGUUUUGACAUCCAUCUGCCAAAUUUCAUCGUUAUGAAACGGAGCGAUGGCUAGCAUUACCCUAAUAGAUUUAAUCUUAGCUACUGGCGAGAAGGUCUCAUCAUAGUCAACCACUGGGGUUUGAGUAAAUCCUUUCUCAACCAAUCAAGCUUUAAAAGUGUGUAACUUUCUAUCUAUGUUGGUCUUCUUCUUGAAGAUUCAUUUUCACCCAACUGUCUUACGACCCGGUACAUUGUCAACCAAAUUCCAAACUUGAUUGUCAUAUAUAGACUUAAUCUCGUUGUCCAUUUUCUCUUUCAACUUGGCAGACUUAGGGCCUGCCAUUUCUCUAUUGUAGUUAAAAGGCUCAUCCAAAUUUACCAGUGUACUAUCAGUUAUAAACAUAUCACCAUAUGUGGUAAUAUAGAAACCAUAAAACUCAGGUGGAAUUCUAACUCUACUGGAACGCCUAAGAGGUAAUGACUCGUCAAUUGGUUUAACUAGAACUUCUUCUUCAGGUAGAGCCCUAGCAUUUUCAUAAAUUCCUUCGUCAUUUGACUCUUGAAUUUUUCAAGAUCAAUUAUAUUCCCACUGUCCUAUUUGCAUAUGAGCUCUCUCGCGUGAAAGACUCCCCUUCGUGCUAUGAAGAUCACGUUGUUACUGGGUCUAUUGAAUAAGUAUCCAAAGGACUUAUGUAGGUAACCGAUGAAAAUACAUCUCUCACUUCGAUCUUCAAGCUUAUUGUGAGUCUCUCGUCUAACGAAAGCUUCACAACCCCGAACCUUAAUAUGUCCUAACGAGGGAACCUUCCCUGUCCACAUCUCAAGAGGUGUUUUUGCAACCUUAUUAGUUGGGACAAGAUUAAGAGCAUGGGCGGCAGUCUCUAAGGCAUACCCCCAGAAUGAGAUUGGAAGUGAAGCUCAACUCAUCAUGGAACGAACCAUUUCUAACAAGGUUAGAUUACGCCUCUUAGCCACACCAUUAAGUUGCGAUGUCCUAGGAGGUGUCGGUUGUGAAACUAUUCCACAUUCCUUGAGGUAGUCGUGGAACUCGAUACUAAGAUACUCACCGCCUCUAUCGGAUCUAAGCAUCUUUAUCUUCCUGUCCAGUUGAUUUUCGACUUCUUGUUUAAACUCUUUGAACUUUUCAAAAGUUUAUGACUUAUGCUUGAUUAAGUAGAUAUACCCAUAUCUGCUAUAAUCAUCAGUAAAGGUCACAUAGAAUCAAAUUUCAUCUCUUGUGGUGGAUCUGAAGGGCCCAUAUAGAUCUGUGUGUAUGAGAUCCAACAAUUCUUCACCUCUUUCAUAAGAACUAGUGAAAGGUGAUUUUGUCAUCUUUCCUAAUAAACAAGACUCGCACGUAUCAUCUGACCUUAAGCCAAAUGAUUCCAUCACUCCAUCCAUUUGGAGUUGGUCGAUGUGUUUCUUGUUAACAUAUCAAAUACGAUAAUGCAACAAGCAUGAUUCAUCUGUACCAUUAGACGAAUCAAUUUGAAAAACACUAUUACCUAAAUUGUCUACAAUCAUCAAAGUUUCAUAUACACCAUCACAAGGUAAAGCUUCAAAAUAAAAAAUACCAUUUUAUAAGCAUAAAUAGAUCCAUUCUCAUCAUUAGAAGAAUAUCUAAAACCUUGUUUAAAUAAAGCAUGAAAUGAAAUGAUGUUUCAUGUCAUCUCUAACGAGUAGCAACAAUUUAUCAAAUCCAAAUUUAACUUACUACUAAGCACUAAGCUAUAAACUCCAAUCUUGGUAACAGGUGAAGACCGUCUAUUCCCCAUGAUCAAGUUCAGUCUUCCAUGCUCCACAUCCUCACUUCUUUUUAGCCCCUGCAAAUAAGAACAAAUGUGAAAACUACAUCUUGUAUCAAGGACCCAAGAAUGAGAAUAUGAUGAGUUAUUAGAUAGGAUAGUGUAAAUACCUACCGGGGUUGGCUUCAGCUUAACAUCCUUAAUAUCUUGCAAGUACUUCGGGAAGCUUCAUUUUCAAUGCCCUUUGUCUUGGCAGUAAAAGCAAGUAGCCUCUUUGGGAUCGAAGGCAGGGAGUGUCAGAACUAGCCUUUCCUUUGGGUCCAUUGCUUGAUGACCCGACUUGGGACUUUCCUUUCCAAUUCUGUUUUGGAGGAACUUUCCUCUUUUUCCCUUUUCCUUGCCCAAUGGUCAAAACUGGAGCAACAUCAGGAGUGGGGGAAAUACCUUUUCCCUUCAUCCCUGCUUCAGCAAUUCGCAGGAGGUUCUGGAGUUAAGCCAAUGUAGUCUCUUGGUUCUACAGAUGAUAAGUCAAGAUAAACUGAUCAUAAUAACUGGGAAAUAAGUGCGAGACUAUAUUAAUAUCCAAUUCCUCAUCAAAGUUCACAUUGAGCUUUAGCAAGCUUUCCACGUAUCGUUGCAUUCUCUGCACGUGGAUACUAACAAACUCACCAUCUUUAAUCUUGCUAGCGAUAAGGGACUUGACUACCUUAUAAUUUUCUUGAUGAGCUCGUUGAUGGUACUUUUCCAUCAACUCCUUUUUCAUCUCAUAUGGCCAGUAAUCAUCGUAGAACCUUUGUAACUUGAGAGUCAUAGUCACCACUAUGACGCAAGCAACUUUUGUUGCAUCAUUAUAGUGUUUCCUAUACUUAGCUAGUUCUGCAGCAGUCACUUUAGUUUCAUCAAUCUCGAGAAGUUCUUUGUCGAGCUCAUACUCCUUGUACUCGAUACGGAGAGCCAUUUUGAUGUUAUGCAUCCAAUCGUUAUAACUGGUGUCAUCAAAAGUUACUCUCGAGCAGGUGUUCAACAAUGAGAAGUUGUUGUUGGGGGAGUUGUUGUUAGAGGAGGAAUCGGAAGCAUCAUUUAGAGUAGACAUCUAUAAAAGAAAGAAAGUUUUGGUUAGAUAAGAAUAAUCCUCAAUAUAACAGCCAAAUAAAAUAUUAUGGAUAGGAUCCAACUAAAUAAUACACAACUUAGAAAAUGGAUGUCGUAAUCUAAUUGUAAAUUAUAUAAAGGUGGGUAAAUGAAGAUUUACCAAGUUCACCAUGAAAAAUGAAAUUUGAACGGAUUAGGUUUUUAAUGAAAUUCCUAGAUCUUUUGAGAUUCAUUAAACUAUUCAAUGGCAUGUUUAAUCUCGAUUAUGCUCUUCCAUUUGUGACUGGGAUACUGAGGAUCACAAAUAAGAUGUGAAUAACCAUGCAAAUUAGCUUGGUACUCUUGAUGUCAUUUAUCAUCUCAUUUUAAUGUGUCGGUUAGCCACACGCGCUCCAUUAAUCAACGAUAAUUUAUGAGAUACCCAUUGCCACUCUUUAUUAGUCCCUAUUAGUGUGUCAGUUAACCACACACACUCCAUUAAUGACUUAUAAAGUGUAAUGUGCAAUUUCAUGAGUUAGCAUACAAAUUCACAUUUUUCCUAAAGUGACUAAGAUUAAGAAUUUUUAUAAAAAAAAUUUAGUUACUUUAUAAUUCAUUAUACUUAUUAGUGAGUAUUAUUUGUCCUAUUAAACUCAUUCGGCUAACAACCCUCCACCAAUCAAGGAAGUGGUGGGUGAGAGUACGUACUAGAUCUGGUUGUUUCUAGAUAUUGGUGGAGGGGUGUUUCUACACUUCCUUAUAGAUCGGCUUCAUGAAUGAUACGUACUAGCGAUUCGAUUGACUUAGUCUUAUAUAUAUAGUAAAUAUUAAAUAUUUAAUUUUACAUAUACUAUAUGGUGUAUUUUAUUUCAAAAUACUAGGUUUAAUUACUAAAUUUCGAAAAUUAAAACAUUUAAUUUAAAUUUGAAAUUAAAUAUUUAUUAAUUAAACAUUUAAUUAAUUUAUUAAAUAAAUUAGGAUUAUCCAAUUAAAUUAAUUAAGAUAGUUUAAUCCUAAUCCUUUCCCCUAAUUUCGAAAAUAACGGGUAGGGAUAUAUCCAAUUUUAUAAUUAUCCUAUUUAACUAGAUAAGCUGUUAAUUACCAAAAAUAAGAUAACCCUAUCAACAUCUAGAAUUUUCAAAAAUAUGGAAUUAGGGAUGAAGGCAAGGAUUUCAAUCCUUACCUAAAUUUUGAAAUAUUGGGGGGCAAGAAACCCUCCAAGACUGAAACUUGUAGGGCAAUGAAAAAGGGUUUCAACCCUUUCCUAAAUUUCGAAACUUAGGGCCUAAGAAAACCCUAAUUUCGAUUAGGGUUUAGUUGCCAUAAACCCUAAUUUGAUCAAUUCAACCAUUGCAAUCAAUUCAAUAGCAAACAAGCCAAGGCUCUGGUACCACUGAUGGGUUUCAAGCAUAACAAACAAAAACCUAUGUGUACAUGCAACCCUAAUUCUUGAUCAAUGUUUUCUCUAAUUGAGCAUACAACUUUGAACAUCAAAUAAAAAACCCUAAGACUAAUAUUAUAUUUUCAAAAUUACUAACUACAGUUAAGAAAAAAUACCUUGAUUGUUAUUAACAAAUAACAAUGAAUCCUUGUGUUGUUGAAACCUUGAGAGUAAGCACCAUAAAUGUCGGGCCUCUAGUGGUUCACACUCAAGACUAGCAAGAGAAUGAAAGAGGAGAGAUGAGAAGGGGGCUUAAGAAUUUCGGCUAUCACUCUAGGGUUUCCAAUGGCCAAAAAUCCUAAGGGGUAAGGGUCUAUUUAUAAUCCAACAAGGAUGUCAUGGAUAACCCUAAUCUGAAUAUAAUAAUAUUAUUUCAAAUUGAUAAUUAUCCAGCUCCUUUUUUUAUCCACAUGGGAUAAUCUAGAAACCCUAGAUUAUCCAUAUAGAAUCCAUCCAAGCCUCCCCAGGAAGGUUCUAGAUCCUCUUGUUCAACUAUUGAACAAUUACACUUUAGACCAUGCACUUUUAAUUAAUUCUUUUAAUCCCAAAAUUAAUUCAAAUUAAUUUCUGAUUAAAUAUUAAUUAAAUAUUACAAUUUCUUAUUAAUAUAUUAUUCUCAUAAUAUAUUAACAAGUUAUUUAUUCAAUUUAUUAAUCAAAUAAUAAAUUCAACCUCUCUCUCCAAAAGCCAUCAUGUCUAGUUGCUAGUUUCAAGGGCAACCCAAAAGGAUUGUGUCACUAUCAAUUCAGGUAUAUAUCAAUUAUUGUUAUGGACUUAGACACAUAAUCCAAAAGUUUGCUCUAGUUGCUAAGAUCAACAUUUUUCGAGUAUUGUUAUUCUUAGCUGCUAAUCUUGAUUGGGCGUUACGACAAUUCGAUGUAAAGAACGCUUUCUUACAUGGAGAUUUUUUCAAAGAAGUAUAUACGGAUCCUCCUCCAGGGUGUAUAACGCGUGAGAAACAAAAAAAAAAACAAGGUAAGCAAGUUAAAGAAGUCCUUGCACGGUCUCAGGCAAUCCCCAAGAUCAUGGUUUUGAAGGUUUUCUAAAGCUAUGAAGAAAUUUGGCUAUAAUCAAAGCAAUACGGACCACACGUUAUUCUUGAAAAGGAAACACAAAAAAAAUUAAUGCCCUUAUCGUAUAUGUUGAUGAGAUGGUUGUUACGGGUGAUAACCCCAGCAAACAAAAUGCUCUAAAAAAUUGCUUGUCUCGUGAAUUUGAAAUGAAAGACUUUGGUCCAUUAAAAUACUUCCUUUGGAUUGAAGUGUCUCGAUCCAGGGCCGAAAUCUUACUAUCCCAAAGAAAGUAUACUCUAGAUCUUCUACAUAAAACUAGAAUGUCCGGUUGCAAACCGGCAGAUACAUCUAUGAUUGAAGGCCUAAAGCUUAACAAUGAGACAUAAUAUGUGUCGGUUGAUAAAAAAAAAGGUACCAAAGACCAGUUGGAAGGUUGAUGUACUUGGCACACACACGACCAGUCAUUGCUCAUACAUUAAGUGUGGGCAGUCAAUUCAUGCACAAUCCGAGUGAACAACAUAUGAAUGUUGUCAUAUAUUUACUAUGAUAUUUAAAGUAAGCUCUUAGAAAUGGAUUUCUCUUCAAGAAAAAUUCAAACUACCGAAGUAUUGAAAUGUACACAGAUGUAGAUUAGGCAAGAUCAAAAGUGGAUGGUCGAUCGACAUCUUGUUAUUUUAGCUUUCUUGAAGGCAACUUAGUAACAAGGAGCAGUAAGAAACAAAAUGUUUGUGACAUCCCCAUUUUCACGGCCAAAAAAGACCGAUUUUGUUUAUGCUUUAUAAAAAUCAGAGUUCUUCUUUUAAUAAAAAUGUUGCGGAAUUCGUUCCCAGAAAAACACGAUAAAUACGUUAUUAAAAUUUUUUCGAAGAAACGUAUUUUAUUCAUUUUAAAACGUUUGGGAUGUCAUCAUCAAUACAGGAACAUAAGCAUAAACAAAACUUACAUUUAUUUACACUAGUGAUCUACAUCUCUUUAAUCUCUCAGUGUAAUGUGACUUCAUAUCAACACCUGUGAUAUAAAUAAACUGAGUGGGUCAGGUUGGAAAACCUGGUGAGUACAUAGGGUUUUCAACCCACAAUAAUAUAAUUAUUAUGUUUAAACAAUCAAACAAUCAACCCAAUUACCCAUCCCCAUUAUCUUAUUUACUCUUAAGGAUUUAUCCUAAGAGUCAUCUAUUCUGCAUUCGUUUAUUCCGAAGUCCCUUACUUCCAGGGUUAUAGGACUGGCACUAAGUCCAUAGCUGCCAAUGUUCAUUCAUAAAGCACUAAUUCCAUAGCUGCUAUAGUCUAUUCAUCGGGUACUAAAUCCAUAGCUACCAGUGUUUAUCUAAUAGGUACUAAGUCCAUAGCUACCAAUUCCUUAACAGGUACUAAAUCCAUAGCUACCAGUGUUUGUCCAAUAGGCACUAAGUCCAUAACUGCCGAUGUUUAUUAGUUAGGCACUAAGUCUAUAGCUGCCAAUGUUUACUCACAUCAUCUUUUAUCUCUCAUCAUUCAUCUACCCGUAUCAUACCCAACAUAUUCGUGUAUAUAAAAUACGUAUACAAUUUAAAUCAUCUAAAACAUGUAUAAAAAUGUUCAUCCAACAUAGACAACAAGUAUACAGAUAAUAUGCACACAUAGCACGUAUUUUAUAUAAAAUACUUCAUAUCUAUGUGUAAGAUGAAAGUAACUAUGCACUCACUUGAAAAUGUGGUGAUUCUGAACUCAGACAACGCUUUACUUCUUGAAAAAAAAAAAAUUUCCUUUGACGAAACAGCGGGUUUUAUAGAAAACCAGACUUUGCUUGGAGCAGCAUUCCCGUGUGGAAAAACUCUUCUUCUCGGAGCCGUCGAGCAGUUAGGGGCUUCCGCCUCGUGCUAGGGAGGUUCCCUAGGCUUUUCGGGGGGUUUCGGGGCUAGAGAGAGGUUCUAGAGAGAGAGAGAGAGAGAGAGAGUAAAGAGAAGAAAGAAUGAGAAAGGUGUGAAGAAAAUGAAGGUGGGAGAGGUUCUAUUUAUAGGGUGAAAAUGGCUGAACUUGGUGCCACAUGUCACCAUCUAGUGGCAAGACUUGGGGAGAAAGCAAUGACCAAGAUUGUGCCACAUCACCCAUUUUCGCACAGCACACUUCCGACUUCUAAAAUCCGUAACUUUCACAUACAACCUCCGUUUUUGACGUUCUUUAUAUCCACGCGUAGGUAAAAAUAAUAUCUACAACUUUCAUUUUGACUUCGUCGGCUAAUUCUCGACCGAUCUUAAAUUUAACAGUACGAGGCGUUUAGACUGUUAAAUGACCGCGAAGAAUUCGUAACUCCUUCAUACGGACUCUGUUUUUGCCUGUCUUUUUACUGUUAAGUUCCUAUUAAUGAGAUCUUCAACUCUCAUUUAAGUCACGUAAGCCAAAAACCGUUCGAACUAAAAUUCGAGUUUUGGGUCGUGUACUGCUAAGCCGAAUCUUAGAAAAAUCAUAACUUCUUCAUACGAAGUCAGAUUUAGGCGUUCUUUUUAUAGAUUUUCUCGGUUUAACGUAUUAUACGACUUUCGUUUAGAUAACUAAGGCUAAAAAGUCCUCCAUCGUAAAAUCACUAUUUACGCUUCCCGGUGUCGUGCCGGUUCCGUCGCGAAACUUCGACAGGUCAUAACUUCUUCGUUAUAACUCCGAUUUCGACGCUCUUUAUAUAUACAGAAACCUUGUGACAUAUUCUACAACUUGGUUAAGAUUAUUUAUUCUAAAUAACCUUUUGUCGAAAAGUCAUUUUCGACCCCUAUUACCUCUAAAUUGACUAGCCCGGAUCUACGGGCGUUACAAUGUUGUAGCUCGAUCUAGUGCAGAAGCAGAAUUUAGAAGUAUGGCACUUGGUAUUUGUGAGGCAAUGUGGCUCAAAUGUCUCCUACAAGAUUUGGGUUAUCCUGUCAAGCUACCCAUUUAACUAUUUUGUGAUAACAAAUCAGCUCGUGAUAUUGCUCAUAAUCCUGUUCAUCAUGAUCGUACUAAGCAUGUGGAAGUGGACAAAUUCUUCAUUAAAGAAAAAUUAGACUGCAAGAUUUUGGAAUUACCAAAAAUCCGGUCAGAAGAUCAACUAGCGGAUAUCCUGACCAAAGCCACUUCAAAGCAAGUGUUUUCCAGACUUCUGAGCAAGUUGGGCAUGUGUGACGUAUAUGCUCCAACUUGAGGGGGAAUGUUAAGAUUUGUUUUAAAUAAAAGAUAUAUUUUAGUUUGAGAUUAGAUAGAGAGAUAUAAGGAGUUGUUUUUUUUCCUGUAUUCCAGGGAUUGAUAUCAAUCAUUUCUUUUAUAAAUAUUGUAUUAUCUAUUUGAUUGAAUAAUAAGAAAUUAGGUUUUCUAAGACAUGGCACACCUUUUUUUGAAGUGUCAAUAGGCCUGGUAAUUCUCGACAUAACCCGCGACACGACACGAUAUAAGUGGGUUUGGGUUGAGUUUUUCAACCCGCCAACCCGUUUAUUAAACAGGUUAUAUAUGAGUUUCUCAAAAAAUAUACGGGUUGACCCACCAACCCGUAUAUAACUUUAUUAAAAGAAAAUUAUAUAUUUUUUAAAUGUAUUAAGUAUUAUACACUAUACAAAUUAUACUUUAUACUAGGAUAUGAUACCCGUUACCAUUGACCAUUUGACCCAUGGGUAAUCAUUUGCUGAUUUGCAUUGUGACACGUUUGGCGUUUGCCCUAAAUAAUGUCAGUAUCUCACAAACAAAAUCGAAUAAGCCCUCUUUUGGUCUCCCUUAUAUGAUGAGCGACAUAAUGAACUUACGAAGAACAGCGACAUGAAUGAUUGAAUCAUCAUCCAACGGCGUCGAAACAUACGAUUAAAUUUAUCUAUGUUUGUAUUAAUGUUUUAGUUUGAACAUGUUUCCAUGAAUGUUUUUAGUUUUCAUUUGAAUGUUUAAGACUUAAGUUUCUAAAAUUCAGAUAUGUUUGCAUCAAGAAUUUAUUCAUGUUUAAUUAUCAAUUUUAUUUAUGAAAUCUGACCCACGAACACACAAACCCAAAUUGACCCACGAACCCAAAUCCGACCAACGAACCCGCCAACCUAUAAACCCGAAUAAAUAAGUGGGUUGACGGGUCAUAUAUGAGUUUAUGUUCCAAACUCGUCAACCCGUGACCUGUAUGGUUAAAUGAGUCGUGUUCGGGUUGGUAUAUUUUGAUUCGCCAACCCGAACACGAUACGAUUGCCGGCCUAGUUGUGAAGUCACAGCUCGUGCGUCAAAAUGCAUUUGCUAGAUGGAUAGGUUUAUAAAUUCCUCCUUUUGAUUAAGUAAAUGACAUUCUCCCUUUGGUUGAUUUGAUAGCCUUGCCUCUGUCUAAAAAAUGACCAUCAAAUCUAUAAUUGUCAGCUUCUGGCGGGUGCUUUGGAUCUUUUGUAACAACAAUCUUUUCGGAAACAAGAAGUGUAUAAAAAGAUACGAUUUUCAGUCGAUAGUGGAUUAAUCAUUCAAUUGGUUUGUUAGUCGGAAUCGUAAAAUUACUUUAAAUUGGAUUUCUUUGUUACAAAAUCCAAUUCAUUGUUGUUCCUUUGUAAUUUUUUUUCUAUUGUCUUGCUAUUAUUAAAUAAAAAUCAAUUGUUAAAAAAAAAAAGGUCACUUAGAGAAGCAACAUGCCCCCCACAACGGAAACAUCUAGUGUUUAAAAUACAUAAUUUUACCCAAUAUAGACCGAUUAAAUAGUAGGAUUUACUGUGUAAAACGGUUCCAAUACCAUUGUUUAACAGACACGUUACUUGUGCUACAAAUUAAAACCCAUAUCAUAUGCAAUACUUUACAUCUUUUUUGGUCAUUUAGAAACACAGCCCAUUACCACCUACAUGACUUAAAGAUCUUUAAUCGAAUCGUACGUAAAGAUGGUUGGAUUCUCAUUAUGUUUGCUAGGAAAAGAAAUAACCACAAUAACAAGUCUCGAUCCUAAACCAAACCCUUCGAUUUUCAAGCUAUGAUUCGGAUUGCACAUGUAAUGCUUUUCCUCUUCUAAUCAUAUGUCUACUUCUUUUCUUGCAUACCGGCUGUAGUGUUUUUCAAGAUCUGCAAAACAAACAAUAUAUUAGUUAUGUGCGCCUUAAAAUAGUGAGUUUUAUAAUUUUUUAUAAUUAUAGUUUAUCCGUUUAACUACGCAAAAUUAUUUUUCUAAAGUCAAUUGACUGUUACCAUUUUUUGACCCAAUAAUAUAAACCUUUUUUUUUUCGGUUGCUCUUGAUUUGGAAAAUGAUAAAUAUUUUGUUUUUACUUUUGUUGUAGUUACAAUAAUGAUAAAUAGAGACACUUACAUGUCUAAGCAUUUGAUUCUCAUUUUGGAGAGUUGAAAGUCGCUCUUCAAGCUCGGAGUUCUUCUUUUCAAUUUCUUUUACUCGCACUUCCAAUUCAUUCAAGUAUGCCUUCUUCCUCUCCCUUGCUUGUUGAGCCGAAACUCUGUUGCGUAACAACCUACUUUGCCAAAACAAAUGACUAAAUUACCCUUAGCUGAAACAAAUGACUAAAUUACCCUUAGCUGAAACAAAUGACACUUGCUAAUCAAAAUAUUUUUUUUAAAGUUCGUUUUACCACAAAAAAGAAAAUAUACAUUUUUUUGGUAUAGUUGUUUUACCACACAUAAGAUAAUAUACAUUCAAAAUCCAAUCCCCCACACACACCCUUGUUAGUUGGUAUAGUUGUUAGUUUUAUUUAAAACUACAAAUACAAUAAUUUCAAAAAGGAGGUUAAUUGCAUAAAUAUAUAACAUACCAUUUGAUUUUCACAAAGCAACAUUUUUCGAAAAAAAGUAUUAAGGUAAAACGUUUUGUUCAAAAAAUAUGAAAAUACCCUUGAGUAUUUUGUGAACAAAAACUUUUAUUUGAUUGUACUCUUUUCAAGGUUUUGUAAAAAAAAGUUUUUUAACCAUUUAUUUUUAACUUCUUACCUUAUGCCUAAAAUACGAUCCACUUAUAAUUACUACAUUUAUUUGAUGUAAUAAAAAAUCCAAAAAAAUAACUUCCAUAUAGAUUUAAAAAAAAAAAAAAAAGUUAUUUCUAUGACUUCCGUAGAAGUUAGGUAUUAUUUUUUAGAAAAAGCGGCUAGGAACAAAACAUGUUAUGCCACGUUCCUAUGAGAUGUCAUACGCGGGACCCACAUCGUCAACCAGACUUUAAAUUAACACCGAUAUAUACUGACGUGGCAAGACAAAUUUAAACGACAAACAUAUAAAAAAAAUCCGGUUUUUAAUUAUUUCGAUUCCGGUUUACCUCUUCAACCGUUUAUUUUCUUUAUCGGCUGGGGUUCUGCCUCUUUUCCUUGAACCAACGUUUGAGCUUUGAACCCGGUCUGGACCAGCACCUGAUCCGGUGUCUCCGCCGGAAACUGAUGCUCCCGCAGCUUCUCCACCCAUCUCCGGCACUCUUCUUAUCUCAUCAUCACUUUCCAUUCCUAUUAUCGCGAACAACAAUUUAGGGUAACAUUUAGAAUAAUCUCUUUCAAAUCACUAAUCUGUCGCAUCUAAAAAUUCGUAAAUUAGAAAUGCAGCUCAAACACACACACAGAAACAUUUAUGCUUCAGCUUGAUCAUAUGGGUAUACAUGAAAUGACAAACGAAUUCGAUUUACAUACAAAAAUUCAUAAGUACAUUCAAUUUAUACACCGAAAUUUUAAGAAAUCGAGAUCAAAUUAUCAGAAACUAAAAAACAAGUCAAAGGAAAAUCCACCUUCUUUGAUUUCGAUAUGAAGUGCAGAGCUCGAAGAUCUCUCACUACUCGAAGGUAAACUCGCCACCAACGAACUUGUCGCAGUUGGCUCUUGCAUUUUGCCCAAUUUCUAGAGAGAGAAACUAUAUAUAAAUCUUAGAGAGAGAAAGUAAAGAGGGAGAGAGUUUGGGACUUUUCUUUUAGUUCUUCACGUUACAGAGGCGGAGAGAGGUUAUUCAGUAGCAGAGAGAAGGGAGAUGUGAUUGGAACCGUUGGAUGAAUCAUUGAUCCAACGGUGGAAAAGGUGUAAGCGUGGUACAAUGAGGAGCCACGAGGUAUCAUGUUAAUCCAAUGAUGUAGAGGUAAGAUACGUGGAUGAAUUAGCGACGUUUGGUGAUAGAUGAUGACCAACGGUUAUGAUUUGUUGAAGGCAAGUGAGUAUAUAGUGGGACCACUUUUUAGGUUUUAUGUUUAUGUGUGCCCAUGAAAGUGUUGCAACGUGUUUGUUAUUAGGUUUUCGACAUUUUCAAUGUUUUUAAUGGCUUGUUUCUAUAAGUUGAAGCUUUUAAUUAAAUAUAAAAAAGAAAAAUGUUUGGGAAUGUAUUUUUUUUUGUUAUUGUUGGUCUAGUUCGAUAGUACUAGGACUGGAAAAUUCAACAUCAUUGUCAUUGCAUUUGACGGUAUGACACCAAAGUUAUUUUUUAUAGACUUGUAGUUAUCAAGUGUUGUAAAUAUAACUAGGUCCCGACUAAUCGAAGCACCUGACCGACUAGAAAACAUCUAACGCUUAAUCUCCGUCAAUAAAAUGAGCGAAACAGUAACAAACGAUGAAAUUUUAACACUUUAAAGAAAUUUUGUCUCCAUAGAAACUAUUUGAGGAAUGAUUAGUGUUGUAUUAAUCAUAUUAACUUAUUUUUUGAUAAUACUAGAGGUAUUUACGAAUUUUGUUAUGAUAUUAAUCAUAUUUAAUUUAUUAAAAUUCAAUGAAUUAGCAAUUAUGGUCCCCGAUUAAUCCAUAUCUAACCGAUUAAUCCAUUAAUCUUAGUCCACCGACUAGCUAAAGUCGAUCAUUUUUUACAACCUUAAUAUUAUCAAUAGAUAUUAGAUAUAUGUGAUGUUACAAUUUACAAGUAAAGAUAUCUUUUAGACGGUAUAUAUGUUCUUUUGAUGGAAAUAUAUUACCUUAAUGUAAUGUGUGAUAUGUAAGUUAUCAAAAUUAAGAAUGUAUUUUAUUGAUACUUAAAACACACUUGAAAGUGGGAGCAUGCAAUGAGAUGGGUUGUAAGAAUUGCAUGUUUAUACAAUCAUACUAAGAGUGUCCUGUCAUUUUUUUUUUCUUCUUUAGCGUACAAUCUUUGCCAAAAUGGUUCUUAGCAUUAUAGUAACUACAAUCAUACCUAGAGUCUCUCAGUUAGUUUCUUUUCACUUGAGAUCUCUUUCGAAACAACUUUGUUCUUAUCUUUGAAAUUAGGUUUUGAACCAGACUUGUCACCACCAAUAUGUUUACAAAACCAUAAUUUGAUGAUGGCUUCCUAUAGAAGUUUUUGCUUUGUUGAUAAACAUAAGGGCAUGAUUUUCUCCAUNUAUGGUUUUUGGGACAUCCCAAAACUGUAAACACAUAAAAUUGGGGGUUUUGGUACUUUUGAACCAGACUUGUCACCACCAGUAUGUUUACAAAACCAUAAUUUGAUGAUGGCUUCCUAUAGAAGUUUUUGCUUUGUUGAUAAACAUAAGGGCAUGAUUUUCUCCAUCAAAUUCAUCAUUUUUAACUUCUUUGUAAAAAAAAACAAGCUGGUUCAAAUGAUCCUUUUUCGUAACGAGAGGAAGAGGACCAUCAGAAUAUUUUUAUUUGAUUUCUUACAUGAUAUCAGCUUCAUGAGUCUUUAAGAUGUCGAACAAGCCAUUUAAAGUAUAUGAUUAUAUUUUUUUUGUAACAUCCCAAAAUAGGAGCCAAAAAUUUCAUUUUUAAAACAUUUAAUUUGCAAAACAUUAGAAUUAAAACAUUCACGAAUCGUAUCAUUUCAUAAAAGAUGUUGCUUGUCUGGAAACCAUAUUAUCAAACAUAAUACUGUCAGAGUACAAAAUCCCAGGAGGAUCCCAUAGUGCGGAAUAAAAAGUGUGUGUUUGAUGUACCGUUACCGUGCCAGCUCCUUCCCCUUCGAAGAAGAAGUACCUGAAACCAAAACUGAAAACUGUAAGCACGAAGCUUAGUGAGUUCCCCCAUCUUACCACAUACCAUACAAUCACAUAUCAUACACACUGUCGGACAAUUCUGGGGUGCCCGACCUACCCGGCACGGCCAUUCUGGGGUGCCGACCUACCCAUGUCAAGCCGUUCUAGGGUGCUGACUACCCAUGUCAAACCAUUCUGGGGUGCUGACUACCCAUCGGUCCUAACUCUCCCUCACUUGGGGUCCUGAUCCGCACUAACUGUUGUGCGCAAUCUAUCACCGCCCCAUUAGGGCUCAACCAAUCCAUGCCUAUAAUCACCUUGUUCCCCCGCAAAGGGAUGGGAACCAAACCACCAAAUAGCGCUCCUCAAAUAACCUUAGGACACAAUCCCUGAAUACUGCUGACGCUCACACUGAUCGAUCAUCGGCGAUCUCUACCUCUAAAGGGCAAUCCAACAUGCCCGAAGACUCAGUAAACCUCUUGCUAAGCGCAAGGGAAACAAAUGAUCGGGUGGCACCCGAGUCAAACAACACCUGAACAGGAAUGUUGUUCACAUGGAAUGAUCCUAACGCAUAUACACAUAGCACAGAUCAAUAUCAUAACAUCAUAAAAAUAAGAUAGAAGGAAAGAAUCAUGCCCGUCACCACAUCGGGUGCGGCGCGAGCCUCCUCGAUAGUCAGCUGAAAUGCUCGGCUCCUCACCACUGGAGCCUCUGCCUUGACCUGCCGGCCAUCUGUAAUCCGAAGGGUAGUUGGAGCUGGCGCCUUAGCCGGCACUGAUGCUGUCAACUGGGGGCAAUUGGCCUUCUUGUGGCCCCUCUGGUUGCAGUGGAAACACAGCAACUCCGAUGUCUGAAUCACAGGUGCUGGGGUGGUACAAUCCCUGCUGAGGUGCCCCGUCUUGCCGCACUUAUAGCAGCCCGACGAUCCCAGCCUACAUGCCCCCUCAUGAGGCCUGCCGCAUUUCUUGCAGCGGCUUGGUCCUGACUGGCCUUUUGGCCUACCAUAUGGUCCCUUGGGCUUCUUCCCCGAAGCCCCUCCUGCCUGAACCUCCCUUGUCUUCCUCUUUCGGAUGUGCUCCAGAUCUAUCUCCCUCUCCCUUUCCCUGGCAAUCAUAGAGUCCAGGGUAGGGCAAGAUGAAAAACUGACAUGCUCUCGAAUAUCAGCUCGUAGCAUGUCAUGAUAGCGGGUCCUCCUCAUAUCCUCAUCACCCGCGUACUGGGGCACCAGCAACGCCCUCUCCCAGAACUUGGCGGUGAUCUCCUCCACAGUCUCUGCCGUCUGUCUCAUAUCUAGGAACUCCCUGGCCAGCUGCUGAAGCUCAACAGCCGGCGCNUAAACUCUGCCCUAAACCUGGUCAUGAAGUCUGACCAAGUCAUAGCCUCGAGAACCGAGGCUCCCAACGAGUCACCCACGGACUCCCACCAAUCCCUAGCUCGAUCUCAUAAAUACCCUGCUGCAAACCUCACCUUCGACCCCUCAUGGCAGAAGCUAAUCAUCUUUGCAGACUCAAUCUCUUCAAUCCAUCGCCUGAUAGCUAUGGGGUCCUUUGCCCCCUGAAAAUCCGGCGCACCACUGCCCCGGAAGUCCUUGAAGGACAGUGUGUGAGAUCCCGACUGGCCAGAUGCCAUGUCGCUCCUGAAUGCCCUGAGGCGAUCCUCCAUCAACUCCAAUAUCCCUUCCUUGAUCGACCCGAAGAUAAUGGGGGUCGACUCAAGGAUGGCUCUGGUGAUCUCUGACGCGAUGAACCCGCGUAGCCCCUCAUCUACUGGCUCAAAACCUGAUCCCGAACCCGAUCCCUCUCCUGAACUGCCAACUGCUGGCCUCGAGCGUAGUACCACCAUUCUGAAAUACAAAAUAAUAAUUGUUAGCGAUACUGACACCUCUGGAGGGAUCACACUUACUACAAGUUCCCUGGUCUUAUCUUGGCCUUCCUUAGUUUCGGAUACGGAUCCUCUGCUUUCAGUAGUACGGGCCCAUACUACCUUCCACAUCUAUCCAUACCUUUUCCAAGGACUGCCUUGACUCCACCAGGUCCCUUUCACUACCGCUGAUCACUGCUAUACUCAUCCUAGGCUUGCUCCAGGAAAUCUCCAACUCUACCCUACCCGGUCCUCAGCUACUGAAGGCCUCCUUGUAAUGCUAAUUAGUCAUUACCUGAAUACCAUCACAUGUGGUGAGGCUCAGAUAAUCCUUCGAGUAACAUACUCGGCUCUACACGGUUAGGCUUAGACAAAAGCCGCGCAGUAAGGCCAGAUCCAACACUCUAAGAUUAUUCAACCAUGAUCACAUGUGACGUGACGUAUUCAUCUAAUGUCAAACUCCCAUCACUCAGAGUCCCCACGAAGCACAGAGCAAGCAACAUUCAGACACAAGGAAACAAUCUCAGGCAAAUCCGUCCUCAUAGAGGAAAGCUGUACUAGCAUACAAUGCUAAACUCAUACUAUCAGGCAUAACCCUAACAGGCUAUCCUACUGUUGUCUACUCAAUUCUAGCAUGCAAUUUUCAUACACUGAAGCACAUAAGGCAUNUUAGUCCUAUUCUAGCAUGUUGUUCUACUGAAACUGAUAAACAUAACAUAAGCUGGUAUGGGUACUUUGGGGAAUACUUACUUGAGCUCGGCCGGUCGCGCACAUCACACACUUCGUUCCUUCUUAAAACUCUUUACUUAGCUUUUCGGAAAAAUAUUUUCUUCUUUAAAAUCUUUUAAAUCCCUUGAUUUGAGUUCAGACAUCCCUCGAAGGCGUGUCCGAAUCCCUCAAACCAGGGCUCUGAUACCAACUUGUAACAUCCCAAAAAUAGGAGCCAAAAAUUUCAUUUUUAAAACAUUCAAUUUGCAAAACAUUAGAAUUAAAACAUUCACGGAUCGUAUCAUUUCAUAAAAGAUGUUGCUUGUCUGGAAACAAUAUUAUCAAACCUAGAUGAUAUCACAAAGACAAUCAUCUAACAUACAACUCCUACUAGUGGGCAGGCAUUGUGGCCGUAGGCCCACCGCUACUGGAAGGUAGCUCACCUCAAAGUAGUUGCUGAUCUGCGUGGGAAUUGACUGUCUUCUGCUGCUGCUGUCCCGGAAGUCCUCCUGCUAAAAUCCCCACAAAACACCCAGUCAAAUACUGCUAACCGACCUCAUGGUAAAAUGACCAUUUACCCUUGACCGAGCCAAGAGUCAAAGUCAAAGUCAACUUCCAGUUGACCCGACUCGUCGAGUUGGCCUGCCAACUCACCGAGUCCCUAUCCUUUUGUCUGACCAUAACCCCGUCUCUACUCGUCGAGUUAGGCGUUGACUCGACGAGUUUUCCUUUUAAUCCAUGGUCUAAUAGUCCUUCAUCCUACUCGCCGAGUUGUAUGAACAACUCGCCGAGUUCAUCUUCAUCCGAAGAACAUGCUAUGUUGAGACUCGCCGAGUUGUAUGAACAACUCGUCGAGUCUGUUCUUGAGGCAAGAAGAUUGCCUUUGACUCGCUGAGUCAGGGCAUUGACUCGCCGAGUUUCUUCAUGGGUGAGUCUGGCUUCCGACUCACUAAGUCACACCCCAUGACUCACUACUCCACUCCGCAAACACAAAAAGGGGAAACUCGGGGACUCGCGACUUGACUCGCCGAGUCUGUCGCAUGCAAACACUAAAUAUUCGAUUUUGCUUGGAUCCAGCUCAUGCCAUACAUAGAUCUGGGUUUCUAGGGCCUGGUUAACACGUAAAGUUUCCAACUCUACGUGUAAAUAAACACCGAUGAGGGUUUUAGGGAUCAAAAUGCACUAAAAGAGUAGAUCUAGGGCUUUCAUGCCAUAUCGCUCCAUAAAGGCAGUAGAUCUGAGCUUCUGGAGCUCAAUCAUGCCUAGAUCUAAGGGUUAAUCAACUUAUUACAAACCCUAAUUCAUAAUCAAGCUUGGAAAUGGCUCAAGAAGGACUUUAAUGGAGCUAUAAAGGUCUAAUAGCAUGAAAACAGAGGGAAACUGAGUUAUACCUCAAGGGAAUCACUUGAAAUAAUACCAAGAUGUCUAGCCUCCUUCUUCUCUUCUUGAUCUACUAUUCUCUUCUCUCAAAAUCUUCAAGAAACACACCAAAACACUUCAAUCUCUCAAGGAAUAAGGGUUUGGACGAUGUUGGGAGCUCUGAGGGUGAAGGGGGCGAGGUUGGGGCGCAUAAGGUUGGUUUAAAUAGGGUGCAAACCCUUGAAAUUUAGGGUUUCAUCAGACAGCAGGGACUCGCCGAGUCCAAAAUGUGGACUCGCCGAGUCGCCAACUUAAACGUGCUCCCAAACCCGUCUCUACUCGGCGAGUCUGGCCUACAACUCGCCGAGUCCAAGGCCAAAAUGCAAAAUAUAUAGAUAAAUUUUUACGUACCAGGAACCAGAUGCUACAUUUUUCUUGACUUUUCACCAUCGAGGUGAUUAACUUCCAUUCUCUUCUGAGAGACUACAUGAAUGUGAUGUCGAUCUCCCAUUGACUUUUGAAAAUUUGAUGCUUCUCGAGAUUUUUCAUAAUCUAACCAACUCGAUUAUAAGCUUUCCCCCAAGGUUUCGUCCAACUUCUAUUUGAAAUCAUGAAACUUGGACAGGUUGUUCGUCACUUGAGAUUUCUUUCCCUUUUCGAUUCCUUCGUAGAGAUCCUUUAGGAAUGAUAUUGCGAAGCUCGUGUUUAGCUUUUCAAUUGUCGUCCUUCUUCUUAUUUUCUAUCGAUGUAAGAGCUUCUUUAGUACCAUCAACACCAAAUUGAACACUGAUAGCAACCAUAUGUUGAUCUUGUUGAAUAGAUGACUAUAAAGCUUCAUCAAUGGCUAAUAGAUAAUCCUUCAUUUUGUCAACUCAUUUAUCGUAUUCACCUUGAUCGUAUUCACUUGGAAAAGGCAUAUGAGAUUUGGUGUGUGAACCAUUAUUAUUAGAAUAGUUGAGAUAGAGAGUUUGCAUGUUAAAAUUUCCCAUAAUAAAGACAUGAUCGAUUAAAAUCACUGAAGACUUCAAAGAUUUAGGGUAAGAAAACCACAAAAACCAUAUUUGAUAAAAAGUGAUUAACAAGGAAUCAAAUCUCAUGAUAAAUCCCAAAUGAUAUAUGCUAUGAUACCAAUUGUUGGAAGACAAAAACUAUCAAGGAAAAAUAUAUUUAUGUGAAAAAAAACACAAGCAUAACCACUUUCAAAUGCUUGUUGAUUUCAAAAUCCCAAAUAUUCAUGAUGAACAUGAGUAGAGAAUACGAAGGAUUACUAUAACGCCGUGAUUUUUACUAUAUUCUUUUAUUUAUUUUAAAAACUUUUAACGGAAGACUUAAAAUAGUUUAUUUCAAAAAACAUUUCAUAAUAAAACCACAAUGUUAUAUCAUUUUGAAAAAAAAACAAGCAACCAAAACGUUUUAAAUAUAACGGAAGCAAUCUACAUAAGGAAAUAACACAUGUUGAAGUGGCACCAUUAUUCGAAAUUAAAUGACCCAAAAGGUGACCCAACCCCACUAAACCCAAUCUCCUAAGCUACUUGCAUCGAUCAUAAGCCACAUAGAAAAAAAAACAAGUGUCAGCACAUGCUUCAUGAGCCGAUGAAGUUGUGCACAACCAAAACGAAAAUGUACAAUCCCUUAAUGGAUCAUUCAUACACAUUAUGAUCAUAUAUCAACCAAAUAUAAAACAACAUUCAACUGCAUAUCAUAAUCCAUUUCAACCAUUUCUCAUUCAAUAUUUCACUGUGUCAUUUUUACCACAUGUCAACCAAUUAUUCCAUAUAAUUUCAAUUCAACCAAUUAGUGUAUGUAAUUCCUUUCAACUUAUCUGUGACAUCCCCAUUUUCACGGCCAGAAAAUACUGAUUUGUUCAUGCUUAUUUAAAUAUCAGAGUAUCAUUUUUGAAAAAUAGCAUCGCAGAAUUUGUUCCCAGAAACAUGAUUAAGAUGUUAUCAAAGCAUUUCCAAAGAAAUGUAUUUUAUUUAUAUUAAAACAUUAGGAUGUUAUCGUCAAUACAGAAACAUAAGUAUAACGAAAUAUUACAAGCCUAAUACUCCUUGAAACUCUCAGCAGAAAGUAUCUUUCAUAUAGAAACCUGUAAUACAAUAAAUCGAGUGGGUUAGGUUAGGAAACCUAGUGAGUAUAUAGGGUUUUAAACCCAUAUUAUAUAAUUAUUAGGUUUAAUCAUCAAACAGUUAACCCAAUUUUCCAUCCCCAUUAUCUUCUUUAUUCUUAAGGAUCUACCCUAAGAAUCAUCUAUUCUUCAAUAUUUAUUCCUUAGGAUUUUCCUAAGGAAUAGGCAUGAAGUCCAUCGCUGCUAAGCUUUAUCUAACAUGCAUUAAGUCCGUAGUUGCCGAUGUUAUCUAUUAGGCAUAACUACCAAUGUUAUCCAUUAGGCACAAAGUCCAUAGCUGCUAACGUUCAUUCGUAAGGCACUAAGUCCAUAGUUGCCAUGUUUUUUAGAGUACAUAUGGUGAACAUGUCGUUCACAAACACCUAUAGGUUGCGAGCCUGCUAGCGUUCUACUUAACUAUCUAGAAUAAUAUAUGGUCGUUAUCUAUACUCUGCUAGAUGACUGGAUCAUCUUUUAAGUCAAGGAUUUUCAUCAUCUUUCACCUCUCAUCAUUUAUAUCAUCUUUCUUCUCUCAUCAUCCAUAUCAUCUUUCAUCUAUGCAUCUUUAGCCAAUAUAGUUAUAGGUAUAGAAAUACAUAUACAAUUUAAAUCAAGUAAAACAUGUAUAAAUCGUUCAUCUAGCAUAGAUAUCGGGAACACAUAUAAUAAGCAUAUAUAGCAUGUAUUAAUAUUAAAUACUUCAUAUUUAUGUGUAAGAUGAAAGUAAAUAUGCACUCACUUGUUAAAGUGACGACUUGAAAUUCGGCCAGCGCUUCGCUUUUAGCAAUCAGGGGCGAAACCAAUUGGUUGGUAGGGGUAGCCCAUGCUACCCUUCAGUUUUUCCCGAGAUCGAAUGUUACUCCGGUUACAAAUCGAAUGUGCCCCAAAUUAAUACUCUAAGAUAAAAUAUCGAUGAGUUGUGAUACUCCUUACCAAGAGUUGAAGACGAAGUUUUGCUGGAUUUCUAUAAUUUCAAAUCGAAGGUAAUCCUAAUUUCCCCAAUUUCAAAUCAAAAAAAAUUUUAAUUUGAUUCGAUAGUUUUAAGGUUUUGAUUUCUCCCAUGGCGAAUAUAAGGUAUAAUUGAUUUCUCCAAUUAAGCCUUACUUUUAAUUUAAUAUGUAUCAUAUAAUAAUGGAUAUGUCCUUUUUUAUGUGCCCCCUACAAAUCAAUAACAAAAUCAAUAAAUUCAUGAUGUUUGGUUUGUGUUCAUUUUGGAGGAUAAUGAAUUAAAUUUAAAAUAUUUUUGAUAUCUUCAUCCCGAAUGGCAUCAUUGCCCUAUUUUUCUGGAAAUAGUGAAAUCCUUUUUACUUAAUUGAUUUUCAAUAUGUUAUAGUUCCUACAGAUAAUGCUUACAUUUUUUCUAUUUGGUUACUGUGUUGUUGUAUUUAUUUUGUUACUGUUACAUCUAUGAUCAUUUAUAAGAGUUGGGGCAACCUCAAGGAAAAAUAAGAAAUUGUUUAGUAAUGGUAGGUUAGUCAAGUUAUGAGUUCAUAACUGAAAUAUAUAUUACAACUCACAAGAACUAAAACAAAUUUUGAUUAUAAAUGCCUUUAGUAUAAACAAAUUCAUUAUCCUAUUUUGUAUAUAUUGAUNAUAUAUAUAUAUUGAUGAUCAGUUAGCAAAUUUGUUGUCCUUACAUAAUAUUUGAUUUAUAUUCAUGAUUAGGUGAUUACUUGGCUCAUUUCCUUGAAAAUUAGAAACUUAUGGAGCAAAGACUAGAUGGGGUGCAAGUGAGCUGAAAUCAUGCUUCCAAAAUUUUAAUGAAACUAAACAUUUACUUUCUUUGUUCAAAUAAUUGUUUCAUGAAUGCACUGUGUGUUUUAUCUAUAAUGUGUACUUAUAUUUUUUACCGAUAAGACAAUAGUAAAUAUGUAACAAAUAUAGUAUAUCACCCAUAUUGACAUCGAAAUAGAAGUAAUAGAUUUUAGUGCAUUGUUAUUAUGGGUAAAAAUAAUGUACAUUGCCAUUAUCGAUGAAGAAAAAAAUGUGUUACCCCUUAUGGGAGUUUCUGGUUCUGCCCCUGCUAGCAAUUGUCUUUUCCUUUGACGUAACCUAGUAUUAUUAUCGCUAAGUUUUAGUCUAUUAUUUAUUACGACUAAUUAUUAGUCUAGAUUCAUCAUUAACUCAAAGUCUACUUCAAGAUAUAUCAAGUAAGGAACAACUAGGUAGGAUCAUAUCGGAGGUAGGGUCUGUUUGGUAUAAGUAUACUAUUUGGAAAUCCCAUUUUAAACACCUCACUAAAUCACAGCCUAUACAUCAUCCCCGUAAGUGGAUCAAUCAGUAUAACGCCUUGGAAUCAUUGAUAAAUAUUGUUUAUAGGUUCAUAAUAACGAUAAUAAACUUAAACAUAAGUUAUACUUAAAGUAUGACAAACAUUACUCACUUACAGGGGGGUUUAGCGAGGAAUCGGGCUCUGCGGAGGCGAAACUUCUGAGCCAAAAGCUCUUCAUCUCAGGGCCUUCAGGUGCUCCGAGACUCGCUUCUCUAACAGCUAGGAGGUUCUGGGAAAGGUUAAGAGGGUUUGCGGGUGUUUGAGAGAGAAGGGUUGAGAAAGGUGUGAGAAAACAAGUGAUUUGCGCCUCUAUUUAUAGGUUAGGGAUCAGGCGUACGUGGGGUAGCUGGGCGUACUAAAUAUGUACAUUGGUGUAACACCCGAUUCCUGGUACGUAUUUAAUUCAAGAAAACUUCAUGUUUUACUCUGGGACUCGACGAGUUGGAGGCCCAACUCGUCGAGUGGACUUGUCUUUCUUCGGGGGUUUAAGUGACCUACUUGACGAGUCGGGAGACCGACUCGGCGAGUAGGUGCUGUUUGAGUGAAACCCUAAAUUUAAGGGUUUUCACCCUAUUUAAACAACUUAUUUCCCCCCAUAUCAGCCUCCAUCGUCCCUCACACUUCCAGAAGACCUUAAACUGAAACCCUAGCCUUGUUUGAGUGAUCUUAAGCCAUUUUUGUGCAUUUUUGGUGGUUGUGAAGCUUGAGAAGAAGAAAGGAGCUUGGGAGUUCCAGUUGAAGCUAGAAGAUCCAGAUAUUGUGUUCCAUCUACAGCUUAUUUAAGGUAAAAAAGCUUCAAUCUUGACUUUCCAUGUGUUUAAUCAACUUUAGGGCUUGGAUUUUGGUAUCUUUGGGGCAUUUCUAACUCAUUUUCGGGUUGUAGGGUGUAAUGUGGAGAUAGGGCUUCAGAUCUUGGACUUUAGAAGGUUCUCAUGGCAUAAAGGUGCCAACUCUAUGGCCAUGAGAGCCCCAUGCAUCUUGUAGGUCUCAUUUUUGGUCCUUUUGAGCUUAAAGACCCAUGCUUAGACGUAAAGUUCGUAAUUUUACGUGUUAUAUCGACCCUAGGAGGUCAGAUCUACCCUUUGGAUGAGAUAAUCUCAACAUAAAUCGAUUUUAUGGACAUGGACUUUAGGGGACUCGAUAAGUCGUUCUUGGGAAUUGACGAGUCGAGCGUUGGUUCCCCAACCUUUUGUUUCGGAGGAAUCUGGUUGAGUCUAGAAGGGGGCUCAACAAAGAUGGACGUAAUCAUGGAUCUGAGAAUCAUGGGACUUGGCGAGUCCAAGGAAAUCUCCCAACUCAUGAAGGUGGACUCGACAAGUUGUUCAUACAUCUCGACGAGUCAUAUACUGAACACAUUCAUAUGAGGGAGAUGAAUUCGACGAGUUCAAGGGUGAACUCGGCGAGUCGGUUGAAGAUGGUCCCAAUAUUAUGGUUGAUGGAGAACCCGUCGAGUUGUUGCUAGACUCGACGAGUAGAGUCGGUUUGAAUCAUUUUGAAGGAAUAGGGACUUGAUGGGAUGGUAGACCAACUCGGCGAGUUAAGUCAACUGGAGGUUGACUUUGACCAAAGUUGGCUUUGACCAGGAUUUGAGUUGACCCUUGUAGAGGUUGUGAGUAUGAAUUGAUAACUUAGAAGAGUUGUCGUGUAGGAAUUGAGGAGUCGUGAAAGUCGAUUUUCACGCAGAGGACAGUACAGACACUACGCAACAUUGAGGUGAGUUACCUUCCAGUAGAAGUGGGUCUAAGGCACCAAGGCCGACCCACUAGUAGUUGAUUACAGCUGAGAUGAUUGUCUUGUGAUAAUUGUCUGGUUUUCUAUUACUUGAUGUGUUCUAUGUGAUGGUGGUAUUAGGAGGGGAAUAGUCCCCCUAUCGGUUGUUAGGAUCGAAGGGUAGGUCGGACACCCCAGAUAUGUCUGACAGCAUGUUUAUGAUAUGUUAUUAUGUGAUAGUAGUAGGGGUGAAAUAGUCCCCGUGACCGGGUGAGAUAGACCGGAGGGCAGGCAGGCACCCUAGAAUGGCUUGACACGGGUAGUCAGCACCCCAGAAUGGCUUGACACGGGUAGUCAGCACCCGAGAAUGGCUUGACAUGGGUAGGUCGGGCACCCAAGAAUUGUCCGACAAAAUGUAUGAUUGUAUAGUAUGUGGUGUGAUGGGGGAACUCCAUAAGCUUUGCACUUGCACUUUUGGUUUCAGGUAACUCUUUAUCCAAGGGGAAUGAGCCGGCGGUGUAGCAGGCAUCACACACAUACAUGAUUUCCGCAUUAAGUUUUCUCGGAUUGUAUUCUGAUUUUUAUUACUAUUGAUAAUAUGGUUUUGACACACGUUGUUACGGUUUUUUAAAAAUUGAUAUGACAUUGGCAAUGUUUUUGGUAAACUAUAUUAUAAGUUACUUCAUUAAAAAUGAAAUUUUUGACCUUGAAAAUUGGGAUGUUACAAGUUGGUAUCAUAGCCUUGGUUUGAGGGAUUCGGAUACACCCUCGGGGAUGUGUAGACUCAAAUCGAGGGCUUGAAAGAUUUUUACAAGAAAAUAGUUUUCUAAAAUCUAAGUUAAAGAGUUUUGAAAAAAACGAGGUGUGUGAUGCGUGUGACCGGCCGAGCUCAAGUAAGUUUUCCCCAAGAUACGCAUACUUGUUACGUUAUGUUAUAUGAUAUGAAUAUGAGAACUACAUGCUAGAUUAGGGCUAAGGAUCAAGGAGGAUGUCUUGUAUGUCUGAUAUGUGCUUAUGAGAACUGCAUGCUAGAUUAGGGCUAAGGAUCUAGGAGGAUGCCUUAUCUGACUGAUAUGUGCUUAUGAGAACUGCAUGCUAGAAUAGGGCUAAGGAUCUAGGAAGGAUGCCUUGUAUGCCUGUUGUAGGAUCUUAUUGAGCUGUAUGUUAGAGCUGUUAGUCAGCAAUAUGGUAGCCUGAGUAGGUUAUGCUUGAUUUGGUUACUCAAUGCAUGAAUGCUUCUUGCUUUGUGCUGAUAGGAGUUCCGAGUAGCUUUAACUAACUAGUAAGCGGAUAUGUAAUAGUAACCGCAAGCUAGUUAGGGAAAGAUGGUAGGGACUCCUUGUGCAUCUGAUGGCGGAGAAUAGGUCAGAGAGUGCCCUAGGACAAGCCUAGGAUGUGAUUAGUUGGAAAGUUGUAUUAGUAAAAAGGGACUUGGUGAAGUCGAGGCGAUUCUUGAGGAAAGUACGGAUAGAUGUGCAAUGUAAUAUGGGCCCGUACUACUGGAAGCAGAGGAUCUUUACUCGAGUCAACGAGGGCCAAGAUGUAACUAGGAAACUUGGAGUGUGUUUGAGACCUCUCUAGAAUAUGUAUGAUCCUGACUUUUAUGUGUUUAUUUUCAGUAUGGUGAUUACGCGACAUGGAGUUAGAGGUUCAGGAUCAGGAUCAGGCUCGGGUGUUGGAUCCGAGCAAGUUGAUGACGGGCUGCACGAGUUCAUCAUGUCCUAGAUCACGAGAGGUAUCCUUGAGGCGACCCCGUUCAUUUUCGGGUCGAUCAAGGAAGGGAUUAUUGAGCUGAUGGAGGAUCACCUCCGGAUAUUCAGGAGUGAUUUGGCGUCUAGCCAGUCGGGUAUGCACACACUGUCCUUCAAGGACUUCAGGGGGAGUGGUGCGCCGGACUUUCACAGGGUGAAGGACCCCAUUGCUACCAGGAUAUGGAUCGUAGACAUUGAGUCUGUGCAGUUGACGAGCUUCUGCCCGGAGGGGUCGAAGGUCCACUUUGUUGCAAGGUGUUUGAGGGAUAGAGCUAGGGAUUGGUGGGAGUCAGUUGGUGACUCACUGGGAGCCCCAGCCAUCGAGGCUAUGACUUGGUCAGAUUUCGUGACUAGGUUCAAGGCUGAGUUUGCGCCAGCUGUGGAGCUUCAGCUGCUGGCCAGGGAGUUUCUUGACAUGAGACAGACGACCGAGACAGUGUCGGAGAUCACUGCCAAGUUCAGUGAGAGGGCCUUGUUGGUACCUCAGUAUGCAGGGGAUAAGGAGAUGCGUAAGACCCGCUACCAUGAUAUGUUGAGGGCUGAUAUCCGGGAGCAUGUCAGCUAUUCAGCUUGCCUGACCCUAGAGUCCAUGAUUUCUAGGGCGCGGGAGAGGAGAUUGAUUUGGAGCACAUCAGGAAGAGGAAGGCAGAGACUGAACAGGUUACGCGGGGUUUGGGGAAGAAACCCAAGGGAUCUGACAGUAGUUCGAAGGGCCAGCCAGGCCAGAGCUGCUGCAGGAAAUGUGGCAGGCCGAAUGAGGGAGCUUAUAUAGCAGGAUCGUCAGGUUGCUACAAGUGCGACAAGACGGGGAACUUUCGCAGGGAUUGUACUGCCCCCACCCCCACAGUUCAGACACCAGGCCUGAUUUGCUUCCAUUGAAAUCAGAGGGGCCAUAAAAAGGCCAAGUGCCCUAGGUUGUCAGCAGCACCGGUGGUGGCGCCGACUCCAGCGACAGCACGAGUUGCGGAUGGCUAGAAGGUCAAGGCAGAGGCUCCAAUGGUGCGGAGCCAAGCAUUUCAGUUGGCAGCCGAAGAGGCACGCGCCACACCCGAUGUGGUGACUGGUAUGAUUUCUUAUCUCUAAACUUUUAUAUUAUGUCGUUGUGAUUUUGAUAUGUUAUGUUAUGUUAUGUUAUGUGCAAUGUUCAGGAUCGUUCCAUGUGAAUGGUAUUCCAGUUCAGGUGUUUUUUGAUUCGGGUGCUACCCGAUCAUUUGUCUCUCUUGUGCUUAGCAAGAGGUUUCAUGAGUCCUCGGGCAUGUUGGAUUGCCCUCUAGAGGUCGAGAUUGCAGACGACCAGUCAGUGCGAGCAUCAGAGGUUUUCAGGGAUUGUGUUUUCAGAUUGUUCGACGAGCGCUACUUGGUAGACUUGGUUCCCAUACCUUUGCGGGGGAACAAGAUUAUUAUAAGCAUGGAUUGGCUAAGCCCCAAUGGGGCGGUGAUUGACUGUGCGCAACAGUUGGUGCGGAUCAGGACCCCAAGUGGGGGAGAGCUGGUGAUUCAGGGCAAGAGGCCAUAGCGAGGACCAACCUUUUGUUCAACAACGAGGGUUAAGCGCUACCUCCAGCAGGGUUGCGCAAGAUAUGUCACCUAUGUUAUGGAUACUCGGGAGGAGGGUAAGGUGACGGUGGGCGAUGUGCUAAUGGUACGAGAGUUCACGGAUGUAUUUUUUGGAUUAGUGUCUAAGUCCAUAACUAUUUUGGUAUGUACUUGACCCGAUGGUGCAUGGUCCUUUUGGGUUGCCUUCACCAAAGCAACUUGAUUGGAGAAAUAAAUAAAGAGAGAGGUUAUUAUGGUUUAUUAAUAUGUUAUAAGAAUAAUAUAUUAAAGGAGAAAUCAUAUUUGUUUAAUUAAUAUUGGUCAAUAAUUAAUUAAGAAUUAAUUUUGUGAUCAAGUGUAAUUAAUUAAACUAGAGGGGCUGAAUUGUAAUUAUGUGAUAGUUACAAAAUAAGGUAAGGAUUAUCUUAUUAAUAGGUUGGACGAAUUUAAGGUGAUAAGGCCUUAGAAUUCGACUAGGAUAAGGGUUUUCAAGGCUUAUCUUAUGGUUACUUGAUGGGCAAGCAACUAGAUAAGGAUAAGGACUAAAACCCUAAUCUCUACACCUAUAUAAAGACCCCAAGGCUCAUGAAUUCGGCCAUGCCUUCCCAAGAGGUCCUAGAGACGAAUUCUUAUACCUCUCCUCUAUCUUUAUACCUUCUCCAUUUGCUCUUGGUGUUUGUAAGCCAUUAGAGGAGUGACACUUGUGACUCUAAGCCUUCCAAAGUCAAUUCAAGGAGGAAUUGGGAUUGUUAUUACUACAUAACAAUCAAGUUAACAUCUUAAACCUAAUUAUAUGUUAAUAUCGAUUUCCAUAUGCUAGAAUUAGGGUUUAUAGUCUUGGAUUCAAAGCAUGUACAAUAGAGAAACCUAGAUCCAAGCAUUAGGGUUUGUAUGAGCACAUAGGAUGUCUUAUGACCAAAACCCAUCAGUGGUAUCAGAGCCUAGACUGGUUUCAAUUGUAUUGAUGCAUUACAUGUUCAAAAAAUUCGAUUUUUGAUGUUCUGGAGGCUGGACUCGCCGAGUCCAUAGCUGAACUCGCCGAGUCCAUGCAGACUCGACGAGUCCAAGCUUGACUCGACGAGUCAACUCGUCAGAUGGAGUAUAUCUCGAGAUUUCUUGCUGUUUUUGCUUUGGGAUAGUUACCUUAUCAUAUUAGAUCAAUAUAAAUCCGAUUUUAUGAUAUAUUUGACUAUAUUCUUGAUCUAAUUGAAGAUAUUUAUCAAUUAAUAAGAUAAUUGUUUCCUUAUGUGAUAAUUGAUUAAUUAUUUUGACUAAAUUGAUAAAUUGUUUUGCAAGAAAUCAUUAAAUAAAUCAAAUAUGGAUAAUUAUGUGAUUAAAUGUUAAUUUAGAUUAUUUGUUAUUUGAUCCUUGUUGUUAUGAAAAGUUUCAUAUUUUCCCCUUUAGGUUUUAUAGUUUAAAUUUGAACCCAAAAGUUUUGUUGUUUUGAAAUUUAAAUAGUUAAAACCCUAAUGUUUUGAAAAAGGUUUCAAAACUUGCCCUCAAGUUUUGGAAUUUAAAUUUUGAUUAAAUGGUUUAAUUUUGAUGUAUAUUUAAAUUCUAAACCCUAAUGUGUUGAAAUGUUUCAAAACUUGCCCUCAAGUUUUGGAAUUUAAAAGUUGAUUAAAAGUUUAAUUAGGAAUGUUAAAUUCUAAAACUCUAGUAUAGUUUUGAAAAAGUUCAAAUCACACCCUUAUGGUUUUAUUAAUUAAUUAAGGUGUAUAAUUAAAAGAGGUUUAAUAAAUCCAUAAAAGUUUAGGUUUACAAUUUAAUUGAAUUAAAAGUAUAAUUGUUAAAUUAGACCACCUAGUAUUUUGAAAGUAUAAAAUACACCCUAUACUAUAUAUAACAUUAAAAGUCUAACAUUAUAUAUAUGUAUGAGUAAAAGUCAGUCUUACCGUUAGUAGGCCUCAUUCACGAAGCUGGUCUAUAAGGGGUGUUUAAGGAAAUUGCCUAUAAAAUGGCGAUUGAAUGGGUAUCCACUCUUACCCACCGCACUCUUGACUAGUGGAGGGUCGUUAGCCGAACGGGUAGGAUAGGACGAAACCUUCCAUUAUAAGUAUAAUGAAUUAUUAAAGUAACUAAAUGUUUUCAUAAAAUUCCCAAUCUUAGUUACUUAGGCAAAAGUGAAUUGAUGCAAUUCCAUGAAAUUACACUUUGUGCCCUUGCGAAGACGUUAGUGGAGCGUGUGUGGUUUACCGGCACACUAAAUGGUUCUAAGCAAAGGUAGCAAAGGGUGACUCAAUGUUUGUCAUAGUUCGGUGGAGCGUGUGUGGUUUACCGGCACAUCGAAUAGGUGACUGUAACAUGUGAGGGCACCAUGUAAGUUUGCAUGGUUAUUCACACCCGCUUUGUGAUCCUCGGCAUCCCAGUCACAAACAAGAGGGGCAUAUCGAGAUUUAAACAUGCCAUUGAAAGUUCAAUGAAUCUCAAAGGAUCUAGGAGUUUUCAUAGAUUUAAAACUUAAAUUUCUUUUUCGUUUUUCAUGGUGGAAAUUAGUGAAUCGUCAUUCACUUACCUUCAAAUAUUCUGCAAUUAGGGUUACGGCAUCCCUCUCCCGAGUUGUAGAAUAUUGUGUUGGGUCCUAGCCUUAGUAUCUCAUUUGGGUGAUUUACUAAGGACUCAAUCAAUCAACUAACUUGAAUUCGUUUUCUCCCGUUUUGUAGAUGUCAAAGUUCGACAACUAUGGUCUUCCCAAAUCCCGUGGAACAAGCAUUCCACAUGAAGAUGAUAUUCCACGAUUCGAUCGAGGAACAAGAAAUCAUGCUUCACUUCCUCCUCCUCCUCCAAUUAUUCUCCCUAACCCACAAGUUCAAAGGCUUGAAAAGUUCAAGAUCACUCAAGCCCUUUUGGCAAGUAAACAUAAAGAAGGAAAGUCGGUGUGUGCACACGUCCUAGGGAUGAAGUCACACAUUGAUAGGUUAAGAAUGUUGGGAUCCGUUGUCUGUGAGGAAAUGGCUGUUGAUUGGGUUCUUCAGUCACUUCCUAACUCAUAUAGUGAGUUCGUAAGAGAGUACUAUAUGAUGAACCGCGACGUGACCCUUAUAGAUCUCACCUAUAUGCUUAUUGCUGCUGAAUCAGCAAUGGUUUGGCGCAAUAGAAAAGCAAAGUUGAUUGGUGAAUCUGCCUUCAAGACCUCUAUGGAUAUAGACAAUGGCAACGAAAGACAUGCUAUGAUCGAAAAGUUUGAUCAUAAGAGAAAGGCAAUGUCUGAAGUAGUUCCAUGUCAUGUUCCAAAAGAGUCAAUUUGCUUUUAUUGCCAAGAGAAAGGGCAUUGGAGACGAAGCUGCCCCAUUUACCUAAGAGAUCUAAGAGAUGGGAGAGUCGAAACGUAUGGCUCUAAUAUAGGUAAAAUCCAUUAACUAACUCUUUUAAGCUUCUAUUCUAGAUUCUUAAUACAUAAUGUGAUAAGAUUACAAUUGAUGUUUUGUAGGAUCGAAGAAAAGAAAGGAAGCUUAAGGGAAGAAGUGAGCAGAAUCUAACCGUGAAGGAAUGGAUUUCGAUCGCAUUUCUCGAAGAUUAGAUUCUUGAGCUACUACUUAGAGUUAGAAUUAGAUUGCUAAGAAAGAUGUAUUAGCAUAGUUUUUCAAUGAAUUGCAUUGUAAGGACAAAUUUUUUCCGCAAUAAAAUAAAUUUUGAUUUUAUAUUAUUUAUUUAUCCUUGCAAUGGCGUAUAUGAAAAAUUGAUGUUUGAAUGUUUCUAUUAUUAGCAAUAAUGGAUUUGGUUCUUAUUAUGUUAUUUAUGGAAAGUCGAGAGUUUACCAAAUAGGGAGAGUUUCUCAUCGCCCAAGUUUCAAUUGGACAGAAACUUGGAAUCAUGCAACUUGGUUGCACGAUGAAUGAGAAAUUUCAUAUUUGGAAAUUAGACUAAUUCAUUGACAAAGUGUCAAGUGAAGGACUAGGAGAUCGAGUACACAAAGUUGCGUGUUGAUCAAGUCCACCAUAAGAGUAACAAAGAUAUUCGUCAUGAUUUACUAAAGGUUUAGUAAAUAUGAUUAUACUUACAAGAUUAAGUGUAAUUCUGAAUUGAUUGAAAAAGUUUAAAUCAAUAGCAGAACGAAUAAGAAGAAUCAAGUAGGCAGAAAGAUAAAAGUUUCUCCAUUCUAAGAAGAAGGGAGAGUAGCUUUUAUGCUUUAUGAUAGGUCUUAAUGAUUAAGAACCAUAUCUCAAUUGAUCCUCUAAGUGAGUCUUAGUACAAUUGUAUGUCUAAGAAGAGGAAUCAAGAAUUGAAGAAAUGGUUAAAUCAAGAAGUCAAUCAUACUUCGUUCCAAAACAAGUCUUAGAGUUAAGAUUGUGACAUUGAGUGAAAAGUAUUAAGAAGGUUUAUAACAUUCAUCAAAUGUGGAAAGUUGUGAUGUCUUGGAUAAGACAAAGACCAACUAGGACCAAUUUAUGAAGUGUUUUGAUAAAAACUACACUAACUCUUGAAUAUUUGUUUGUCAAGAAAUGUUUAUUGACAAGAGAAUCUUAUAUGUCAAGGAGUCAGUGGGAGUCUUAAUGGUCUUGAAAGGUUUCAAGAACAAAUCAAAUAAACCUUAUCGAUCAUCACUAGCACACGAGUUGAGGUUUACAACCUAUCGUGUUGACAUUAUUUUGUUUCUGUGCCAAUCCAAUCGAGUUAAUUAUGCAUGUGAGUUCUAUGAGUUCUCAUUUUGAACGCAUAAAAGGCAAAGCACCUUAAUCAAUGAAAGGUACAUUGAUAGGAAAGGGUGAGCUGCUUAACUACUUGGAAGACAUGGUGGGCAGCUGUGCUACCAUAAGGCAAGAAAUCAAGAUUAAGAAAGUUCGGUCCAUAUGAGUUUGAAUUUGUCGUAAACUUUGGUUUUAACAAAUUCACAUGGAUAGGAACACAUACACCGUUUAAAUCUAAGUGUCAUAAGAUUUCCUCCUUCAUGAAAAUGAUUGUGAGGAAAUGCUUUCACUAAGAAAGAUUUUAAGAAGAUAGUGAUUGUAAAAUUGCAUUCUCGAAUUCGAUUAUGGUUACGGUAUCCCUUUCCAUAAUUUGAAUUGUGAGGUUUGGCAAUUAGUCUUAAUUGUUUAGACACACAUAUGAACUAUCGAAGGCAAAGGUGUAUAAGUUCAAGAAGCCUUGAUAAAGGAUUAUCAAAGCACUAAGUAUUAGAAACAUGAACUUAAGAAAUUCAAUAAGUAUUGUUUUUCUGAAAGUUAAGAUGUUUAUGAAUACAUGUCGAAGCUAGUGGGAGCAUAAGUGUUAUGUUUUAUAAUAAUCAUCAUGAUAGUGGGAGCAUAAAUGUUAUGAUUGUAUGAUUAUUAAGGCACGUAUUGCAAGUUGGCAAUAUUAAUUAUAGAAAACAAGAGUUAUACCUUGCAAAGUCGUAAGGGUUGUAAAGUUGUUUUGCUAUAAUUAAGGGAGAGAAUAUUAUGCUUCAUUUCAAAUCUAAAGGAUUAGGUUGAGAAAUGUUAAUAAAUUUAGUCAAGGGUACAUAGUGUGUUCUUAAAAUUUCGAUUAUGAUUACGGCAUUCCUCUUCACAAUUCGAAUUUUGAGAACAUAGCAAAUAAAACAUUAUGCGUCGUGUCCCAUACGCUUCGGGUAUAGGAUCGAUUGCAAAUGCUUUAAUGUUUGACCAUUCUAAAAUUUUCCAAAUGUCGAGCGCAUUUAGAGGGAAAAGGGACUAGAAUUGGUUUUGACUAAAAUAAUUAAACAACUAUCAAAGGACAAUCCAAAGUUCGACGAGGAUUGGUCGCUUGUGAGUAGUUGGAAGUAUAGUAUUGGAAAAUAUGGAAAUGUUUCCAUAUUGGAUGGACCAUAUCGACAUCAUUACGAAUAGAUAAGAUUCUAUUAAGAAUGAGUUGUCAUAUGGAACAUAUGGAAGUGUGUCCAUAUUGGGAAUUGAAUAUUGAGAAAUCUAUGACUAGAUUAGAAACUUCUAUGCAAAAGGAUGUUCAAAGAAUGUACUUUGAGUGAGAGACAUCACGUCUAUGGAAUUGUCUUGUAACAAUCUCCGAUAGAGGACUUUGUAAUAUCAUUGGCAAUAGUCUUUGUGACUUUGGUGCAGUGACAUUACGAAAGGAUAGUUGCAUAGAAUGUUAGAAUCUAGCAUAUUCUAUAAGUAGCAAGAAUUUGAUAUUCUUUAACUUAUGAAAAACGGAUUUGGAGUUGUGAAAUGAGAAGGAUUGGAAAUGUGUUCAAUGUGAUCUAUUUCACAAAGUAAGAACCAUAGGUAAACAUUGUGUGCAUGCUAGGAGCAUGGGACAAGUGUUGGAAUUCAAGUAAGAAGUUGAUUACCCGAAACGACAAAUAAUGAGUAAUCAAUAUGGUGAUAAAUAAAAGGUGUUUUAUUUAUACUCAAAGGUUUGAGGCCAUAUGGGAUUAGUAUUAUUCUUGUGUUUCACAUUUGCAUGUUUUGACUUCCAGAAUAAUUGAGUUUAUUAAGAAUAAUCGAAUUAUUCAAACGGGCCACAGUCGUUCAUAUGUUGGAAGUAGAUAUGAAUGAAGACUGUCGUGAAUUGGUGUGUGGAUUGUCUAAAAGAGUAUUAGACAUAAGCAAAUGUUUGCUGCAACGUUCAUGAGUGCUUAUGAAUGUGAUUUGAGCAUUGGAUUAAACCCACGCUCACUUGGAUCACUCCAUGAAUUGUAUCACGAGUGAUUGGUGAGACGAUAACAUCUUAUAUUCUUGAAACCGAGAUGUGUGAGUUGUAUCUUGCAAAUCGGUUGCACAUUGAUAAUAUGUAAACGCACUAGUAACUUGGUGUUAUAAAACAUAUUGUUGUGUGUGAUUCGGUGAGUGAGUGCAAGCAAGCAUUGUAUCAAAGUUUAUCCGUUCCUUUUAUCCAAAGUAGGAUAAAAGCGAUAUCUUUGGGCCCCUCGAUGGUUUAGUGAUGACAAACGUAAAUGCUCGGCCGGGCUAGGGCUAAUUUGAUUUGUUCAAUUAGUCAGUCGUCAUAAAUCGGAAAUCGAGAUAUAGUACAAAGAGAAUGAUUUGAAAUCAUAUCUCAUAUGAUAUCUAGAAUGGAGGAAUAUAUGAUCCCUUAUCUAAGGACACGCGUAUCUGAUAUGAUCAGAGUUGACAGCGGCUUUGGAAAGCUACGAUUGCAGAUCGGGAUCCGAAGUCAUACGCAGAAUAGUUGUUAGACUUAUCCAAGUGGGAGACUGUUGGAUUAGUGUCUAAGUCCAUAACUAUUUUGGUAUGUACUUGACCCGAUGGUGCAUGGUCCUUUUGGGUUGCCUUCACCAAAGCAACUUGAUUGGAGAAAUAAAUAGAGAGAGAGGUUAUUAUGAUUUAUUAAUAUGUUAUAAGAAUAAUAUAUUAAAGGAGAAAUCAUAUUUGUUUAAUUAAUAUUGGUCAAUAAUUAAUUAAGAAUUAAUUUUGUGAUCAAGUGUAAUUAAUUAAACUAGAGGGGCUGAAUUGUAAUUAUGUGAUAGUUACAAAAUAAGGUAAGGAUUAUCUUAUUAAUAGGUUGGACGAAUUUAAGGUGAUAAGGCCUUAGAAUUCGACUAGGAUAAGGGUUUUCAAGGCUUAUCUUAUUGUUACUUGAUGGGCAAGCAACUAGAUAAGGAUAAGGACUAAAACCCUAAUCUCUACACCUAUAUAAAGACCCCAAGGCUCAUGAAUUCGGCCAUGCCUUCCCAAGAGGUCCUAGAGACGAAUUCCUAUACCUCUCCUCUAUCUUUAUACCUUCUCCAUUUGCUCUUGGUGUUUGUAAGCCAUUAGAGGAGUGACACUUGUGACUCUAAGCCUUCCAAAGUCAAUUCAAGGAGGAAUUGGGAUUGUUAUUACUACAUAACAAUCAAGGUAACAUCUUAAACCUAAUUAUAUGUUAAUAUCGAUUUCCAUAUGCUAGAAUUAGGGUUUAUAGUCUUCGAUAACUUGCAUGUACAAUAGAGAAACCUAGAUCCAAACAUUAGGGUUUGUAUGAGCACAUAGGAUGUCUUAUGACCAAAAACCCAACAGUAUUCCCUAGGGAUCUUCAGGAAUUGCAUGAUAAAAUUUCCUGACUUCAUGAUGCCUGCUAGCCUAGGGUUUUCCUUAUAUGAAAUUGACAUCAUUAUUAUAGUUACUUGUGUGUGUAUCACGGUCAUAUGUAAUUAAGAUCUUAUAGCCUGAUAUUGUUUGAUUUGGCCUUUUGUUUUGUUCUUGGUUGAUUGGGAUCUUAGGGUAGGAUUGGAUAUUUGGAAGUCUAUAGGGUCCAGCAUUAUGUAUGGCUAGCACACACUAAUGUUGUAGGGUUGGUGGAAGUUUCGUGGGUGGAUAGGUUGUUUGGGACGAGUCCACUGACUUCGAGGCAUUUAGCCUUCCUUUAGGAGUGAGGCUUGUGUGCUCGAUAUGAUUAUGUGUAUUGUUAGUGUUCGAUUAAUGUCUAAGUCCAUAACUAUAAUUGGUAAGACUUGACCCGGCUCGACAUGGUCCAUUUGGGUUGCAUGGCAUCAUGCAUUUGGAUAGACUAUAAUGAGAGAAAUAACACUUAAGGUUGUUAAUAUAUUAUAAGUUCUAAUAUAUUAAUAAGAUUAUUUAAUUAGUAUUGAUCAAGAAUUAAUCUAGGAUUAAUUAAAUGAUCAAAAGAAGACUAAUUAAAUAUAUGGGUUGAUUGUGUUAAUCAUCCAUACUUAUAUAGUGGGCUAAUGCUCCAUGGAUUGUCAAGUUGGGCUAAAUCCCAUAAGAUGCUCCAUGGUGUAUUUGUACCCAUGGAUCAUGGAAAUGAAAGGCCAUGAAAAUUAGGGUUUACAUGGUGUAACCCAAACUAUAUAAUGAUCUUAUUCUUGGAGAAAAUUAGCUACUAUGAGAUAUAGAAAGGGCUAGCCGAUUUUAUGAAGUGUUCCAUUUUCUCUCAAGUCAUUCCAUGUGCAUUUGGUGUUGUGUGAACCAUUUGAGGUGUCACACUUGGGGCACUAGGCACUCAAGAUUCAUGAAGACAAUCUACAUCAAAGAGGUAUGUAAUUCCAACUUAAUAUAUUCAUCUGAAUCAAUGUUAUUAUGCUAGUUAGGAUGAAUACCUUGGAAAGUUCAUAUUUUCAUGUAUAAUAGAGAAAACAUAGAUCCAAGGUAUUUAGGGUUGCAUGUACACUUAGGAGUGUUAGAAUGCUCGUAACCCAACAGUGGUAUCAGAGCCUAGGCUUGCUUUCUCUUAUACUUGACGCAAAUGUGUUUUUUGAAAGUUGAAUCUGUCCAAAACAUAAAACUCGACGAUUUUAUGCCAAAAACUCGACGAGUUCUUCAUGUUGGGCAUGAGCUCGACGAGUUUCUCAAGGAACUCGACGAGUUUUGGCCCCUGACAGCUUGUUGUUUGCUGUUUUGGCUGGAAUUGGACUAGGAACAUUACCCUAAGCUGUUUUUGACCUUAUAAACUUGUUUUUGAUGUGGUAAUGUUCAUGCUAAUCCAAUUUCAAAGAUAAUUGUCAAUAGAUUCAUGUUUUGUAUUAGUUUAAAAGUUAUGCUAAUUACAUGNAAUUACAUGAAUGGUUUGAUGUGAAUUAUCUUUGUUCAUAUGAGUUGCUUAGAUUAAUAGAUAGGUUAAUUGAUUAUGUGUUUUCAAUCCAUUUUAAUCUAAGAGUUUAUUCUAAAAUGUAUUUUUGUAACUUGUCCUCAAGUUAUAUGAAAAGUCACAUUUAAGUUUCAUAAAACUCAUAAAAAGAUUGGCAAUGGUUACAAAAAUGAAGAGUUUUGUCCUCAAGCUAUGGAGGUUCAAGUGUCACUUCAUUAAGUAACAAAAUGUGUAACCUUAAUUAAUUUCAUAAGUUACAAAAUAAAGAAAAGUUACAUUCUUUUAUUAGUUUAAAGUCUUCCAUAACUUGUCCUCAAGUUAUGGAACUUGAAGAGUUUUUUAAUUAAAACUAAUUUAAACACAUAAGUUAUGGAAUUAAUUAGUUUUGAAUAGUUUCAAAACGUGCCCUCAAAUUUUGGAAUUUGAAAAGUUUUCACUUAUGAAUUCCAAGUUAGCCCUUAGAAUUUUAAAAGUUAAAAUUCAACCCUUAUACUUUAUAAUAUUAUAAGUUAAUAUAUAUAUAUAUAUAUAUAUANNNNNNNNNNNNNNNNNNNNNNNNNNNNNNNNNNNNNNNNNNNNNNNNNNNNNNNNNNNNNNNNNNNNNNNNNNNNNNNNNNNNNNNNNNNNNNNNNNNNNNNNNNNNNNNNNNNNNNNNNNNNNNNNNNNNNNNNNNNNNNNNNNNNNNNNNNNNNNNNNNNNNNNNNNNNNNNNNNNNNNNNNNNNNNNNNNNNNNNNNNNNNNNNNNNNNNNNNNNNNNNNNNNNNNNNNNNNNNNNNNNNNNNNNNNNNNNNNNNNNNNNNNNNNNNNNNNNNNNNNNNNNNNNNNNNNNNNNNNNNNNNNNNNNNNNNNNNNNNNNNNNNNNNNNNNNNNNNNNNNNNNNNNNNNNNNNNNNNNNNNNNNNNNNNNNNNNNNNNNNNNNNNNNNNNNNNNNNNNNNNNNNNNNNNNNNNNNNNNNNNNNNNNNNNNNNNNNNNNNNNNNNNNNNNNNNNNNNNNNNNNNNNNNNNNNNNNNNNNNNNNNNNNNNNNNNNNNNNNNNNNNNNNNNNNNNNNNNNNNNNNNNNNNNNNNNNNNNNNNNNNNNNNNNNNNNNNNNNNNNNNNNNNNNNNNNNNNNNNNNNNNNNNNNNNNNNNNNNNNNNNNNNNNNNNNNNNNNNNNNNNNNNNNNNNNNNNNNNNNNNNNNNNNNNNNNNNNNNNNNNNNNNNNNNNNNNNNNNNNNNNNNNNNNNNNNNNNNNNNNNNNNNNNNNNNNNNNNNNNNNNNNNNNNNNNNNNNNNNNNNNNNNNNNNNNNNAGUUCAAUGAAUCUCAAAGAUCUAGGAGUUUCAAAUCCAAUUAAAACCUAAUAAUUCAUUUCGUUUAUCUUGGUGGAAAUUGGUGAAUCGUCAUUCACCUACCUUCAAAUAUUUUAUAGCUUGGAUUACGGCAUCCCUCUUCCAAGUUAUAAAAGUAUUGUGUUGGGUCCUAGCCUUAAUAUUUCAUAUUGGGUGUUAUAUUAAGGACUUUAAAUCAACUAUCUUGAAUAUCUCCCAAAUAGAUGUCUGGUUUAGACAUUUAUGAUCUUCCCAAAUCUCUUGAUACAAGCUUUCCUAAAUGAAGAUGAUGUCCCAUGGAAAUCAUACUUCUUUCACCUCCUCCAAAUUAUUCUCCCUAACCCACAAGUUCAAGGCCACUCAAGACCUAUUGGCAAGGCAACAUCUAGGUGUGAUCACAUCUUGGAGAUGUAGUCACAUAUUGACAACCCGGGAGAGUUGGGUGUCAAAGUCUUGAGAAAGUUGGUGGUUCUAUCACUUUCUAAGUGACAUAGUGAGUUCCUCUGGGACUCCUAUGAAACAGAAUAUGAGAAGACCCUUAAUGAUCUUAUCUAUUUGCUAAGAUCAACUUCCCAAAACUUUAUGGAUAUUGACAAUGUGACAUUGGAUACCUAGUAAAGCUCUCUCUUCCCAAUGAAAAAGGAUCGGCCAUAGUCAACUCGGUUGACCAAAUGGUAAAAGGAAAGGCUAAGUCUGUGAUAGUCCCAUGUUCCAUUACCAAAGCGUCCAUAUGUUGAAUUGCCAAAGGAAGGGGCAUUGGUUGCGAAGCUGCCAAUUUACCUAAGGGUGUUAAAGUCAAUAAGUUUGACUCUACUUCAGGUAAAUUCCACUAUCUAACUCUGCUAAUUUUCUAUUAUGAGAUUCUUGAUACAUGAUGUGACUGGGUCACAUGGUGAUGUUUUAAGAAUCAAAGAAAAGUGAAGGAACUUAAAGAAAGAAUAUGUUGAAUCUGAUCACGUAGAUGGAUUUCUAUCGUAGAGUUUGAAGAUCGGAUUCUUGAGCUACUUCUUAGGAGUUAUGAGAUAUUGCUUAGGAAUAGAUAACAACAAGUUUUCAUAUGGAUUGUAAGGAUGAGUUUUUUCCUCAAAGUUUUAAAAUAAACGGAAAAUUUUUAUUUUAGUUAUUUUAUGUAUCCUUACAAUGGCGUUAGUGGAAAAUUGUUGCUUAUAAGAUUCCACUGAUAGCAAUAUUGGAAGGGGAAUUUUAUUAUUUCAUUUGUGGUAAUGUCUAAAUUUACCAAAUAAGGAAAGAUUCUCGUCACCCAAGGUUUCAAUUGGACCGAGACUUGGAAUCGUGCAAGUUGUAUAGCAUGAUGGAUGAGAACUUUCAAGCAUUGGAAAAAAUUAAGACUAACUACUUGUUCACAUGGAUGUGUGAGUCAAGUAACAGAAUAAGGGAUCGAGUACACAUUCUUGUGCACUGAUUAAGUCCACCACAAAAGGUCGAUAAGACUAUUCGUCAUGAUUUAGUUAAGUUCAGUAAAUAUGGUUAUACUUACAAGUUUAAGUAUAAUUCUGAAACAUUGGAAAAGUUUCAACGUAAGGUAGAACGAAUAAGAAGAGUCAAAUUAGGCAGAAAGAUAAAAGUUUCUCAAAUCUGAAAAGAUGGGAGAGUACUUUAGUAUCAUUUUUUGUGAUCAUCUUGAUGAUUAAGAAACCAUAUCACAAUUGGUCUUCUGAGGACAUCUUAGUGCAUUCUUAUGGCUAAGAAGAGGAGUCAUGAAUGGUUGAAGUGGUUAAAUCAAGAAGAUGAUUCAUACUUCAUUCCAAAAACAAUUCUUAGAGUCAUACUCUAAAAUUGUAAAUUGAGUGACAUGUCUUAAAGAAGGUCUAGAACACUUGUAAAAUGUAAGAGUAAAAGUUUUCUACUCUUGUACAUUUGAAAUUGGUAAGUUGUGAUGUUUUGGAUAAAACAAAGACCAACUAAGGCCAAUUGUGUGAAGUGUUUGUUGUGAUUAGAAUCCACACUAUCUCCUAAAUAUUUGACAAGUGAGUCUUAUAUGUCAAGAGGACAUUGGGAGUCUUAAAGGUAUUGAAAGUCUCAAGAACUAAUCAAGAAUACAACCUGAAGUUCUUCACUAGCACAUGACUUGAGGUUUAUAACCUAUCGUGUUGACAUAUGUGACAACCCGAAAUUUCUAUUUUGUACAAGAUGUCAAUUCAAUAGAAGUCAAAACAGUUUCUGGAAACUUUCAAGCUUUUUGGAAUAAGUUUGAGUAUUUUAGGAUUAACCACUUAGGAGAUAUCAGGAGAGAGGAUGCCCUAGGGUUUAUUGUGCAACAAUAAAGUCCCGACACAUCAAAAGCUUAGAGUUUACGGCCAAAACAAGGAGUUUACGGCCAUAAACCCUAACUGAAAGAGGUAUAAAGGUGACACUUAGUUAUUUUUACCAUUUUUCCAACUUUCAAGAACAAAAACUCAAACUCUCUCAAGUAUCAUCCAAAGAAUUCUUCAAGAUCUUCAUCUAGUAAGUGUUUCUAGCCCUUUUAAGUCAGUAUAUCACUUAACCUAGUGAUUUAACACACUUCUAUCCAUCAAAUCUUUCCAAAAGGUUGAUUCUUCAAGUUUCACCAAGAACACACACUAGUGUUCUUGGACUUUUGGACCUUUUUAAAGAUUCUAACUAGUAAGUACUUCUAUCCUAGAGUAUCAUAAGGCUUAUUACACUUCUUUACAUCAAGAAAACACCAUUGAAACCCAAGAUCAAAGGUGUUUACGGUCCAAGAACACCUUGGACCGUAAACCCUAAUUUAGGGACCAAAGUGACCCUAGUCCCUUCACAAGCUUUGGAAACUAGUCUAGACUCAUUCCUUUAUAUGUUUAGGACUUGAAAACAUCAAAGUACCAUAAUCCAUAAGGGUUUACGGUAGUAAACGCAAAAGAAAAUGAUCUUAGGGCCGUAAACUCCUCAAAGGAGGGAAAUGGUGCCCUAAUCUCUUCCAAGGGCUUAACCAUCAAGUAGAAAUGCUUCUAAAGACUGUUAGAACUUAAAAACAACACAUGGUCAAAGGAUCAUGAGUUUACGACCGUAAACUCAAUGAGUUAUGGUCAAAAAACCGUAAACUCAUGUAAGGGGUUCCCUUGAACCCUAAACUCAAUAGCAAUGUCCUACAACACUUCGAUGCAAUCCUUAGCACUUAUAACACCUAUAUAAGGUGUUUAACAUGCCCUAGGAUGUCUUAACUUUAUUAUUUAGUUGUUUAAAGACUAAUUGGAUACAUAUAUGUGUUAUUAUAUGUUAACCAGGAUCAUUGUGUAUGUACAAGUCUUCACUUGACACUUAUAAUCCUACAUGAGUCCGUUCAUCCAAGCUACUCAUUUCAGGUGAGUUCAUACCCCUUAAUUAAUCUUUUAAAUGUUUUUAAAUGUUUCUAAAUGCCUUAUGGGGGGAUACAAGUUGAAUCAUGUUUAAUUUUUAUAAUAAUCACAUGUUAUUGAUAACUAGCAUGCAAAUGGAUUUACUAUACGUUAACUGUUUUACCAAACAGAUAUCUUCAAAUGACUUCCUUAAACAUUUUAACAUGUUUAAAACUCUUUAUGAAACUGUCUUACAAAUUGUAUGUUUCCUUUCAAAAUCUGUUACAGUCGUGUUUCAAACAAAGGUUUUUCUUACACUUAAUCCGUCUUGUCAAACUGUUCUCAAAGCGUUUUAUAAACUGACAUCAAGUCAUAAAUUCUUAUUUAUUAAACUUUUCGAAAGGUUUUACAAAACUUCUUUUAUACUUUUAUAUUAGUUAUAUAUUAUGUAUACCUAUAUAGACAUAAAAGUUCCAUCAGUUAGUUCAGUUCCAACACUCUUGGGUAGCAAGGGUGUAUAAACCUACUUGAACACUCAACUUAAAUUCUAGUAAACUAUUAUAGGUAUAGUUUAUGAGAUACAAAACAUUAUUCCUAAUACAAGGAAUCACACCAGAUUCAAUUCAUUCAUGAGUCUAUACUACAUCAAUAGGAGGAGAUACUUUUACAUAGAUACAUCAAUGUGAAGAGAUACUUUUACAUAGAUACAUCAAUAUGAGGAGAUACUUUUGCAUAGAUACUAUAUGAUAAGAUACUAUUACAUAUUAUAUGUGUAGAUAUUAUUAUAUUACUAAUUUACUUUGUGAGACAUUCACAUAAAUGAUGAGGUAGAUUAGAUCUGUCUAUCCUAGUACCAAAGGAUACUGUAAGGGACUAACAAUUCCUACACCCAGCUGUUAGCCACAGUGGUAAAUGCACAUCUACGGAUGUCUAUGGUAGAUACCAUUAUAGGUAUACUUUAAGGUACUAACUAUUCCUACACCCAACUGUUCGCAACAGAGGUAAAUGCACAUCUACGGAUGUCUACGAUUAAUACUAUUCGAUAAUUCCUAUGUCGUGUUUAUCCAAGUACCAAAGCAUAAUACUUAAGUUAUUUAUAUUAUUACCAUUAUUUUGUGAUACAUUCACAUAACCGAUGAGGUAAAGUAUAUUUGAGUAUCCUAGUACCAAAGGAUACAAUUUCUUAGGUUUGAAUAAUAAUAGUUGUACCAGGUAAAACCUGAACCUAUGUAGAGGUUCAUACUUUCAAAACGUCCGGGUCUUGGUAGAAGACUACCUUUUAUACUAGUAGGAAAUAUGGGAUUUUCUAGGGUUUUUCACACUUAUACUAAAUGUUUCAUUAAACAUUCACCAGGCUUUCAUAACAACUUUUCAAAGCUAUGACAUUAAAAUACUUAUGAAUUCACCAGAUUUAUUGCUGAUACUCACUUUCAAAAGAACUUGUAUUCUCAGGUCACAAUUAGAUAGGUACCAAUGCAAGGUUAGAGAAGACGGAGCAGUCAAGACUCGUCUUUUAUUUUGAGUAUUCAUUAUGUUGUGUUAUAUUGUGAAAGAACACACUUAUAAGCAAAAUUAUUCUAUUAAUGCAAUGGAUGAUGUUGUUGCUUGUUUCCUACUUUACAUUGUUGUGAUACAUCACAUGUCGUCCUCCGCCCCAGAACGUUUCCGCCGUUCUCGGUUUUGGGAUGUGACAGACUGUUAUCAGAGCAUUGUUUAUAGUGAAUUGAGUAUAUCAACCCAUAAAAGAUAUACUAACUAUAAAUACAAUGGGAUUAAAAUACUCUGACCAAGAGUUUAUAUUUUUAAAUCACAAAAUAUUUAAUUAAGUAUACGUGCCUGCAUUCAUACUAAAAUCAGUGUCACAAUGACAAGAACAAAAGUAUUACGAUUGUUGAAUAUCACAAGUAAGCUUAAGGAUGUAUGGUCAGUCCUGGGAGUAGCAUAGCCUGAUCAACUAUGCUGGUCCGAGGAGUGAUUAGCAUAUGCCCAAGAAUGGUUGUGAUGUGGUAACAAGUCUAAAAACUUACCAACACAACCACAAUGAAAUACCAUAGGGGUAUUUAGUGUUACUGUAAUUACUUAUUUGAGAACUAAAUAGAUUUUUAUUAGUAUGUCAAUAGUUUUUUAGUUGAUACACUAAGUUUAUAUGUACUAGGAUGUCAUAGACUUAGAAUCUGUGGAUCUUUGCUUUAUGUCCUGUCCUCGUUGGGUUGGGGGCUUAGGGCUAGGGUCACUUAUUCGAAGGUCUAUCCUAUCCUAACUACAUAUAACUGGUAUGCACUAAACAAGUAUUGAAGCAACUGAUAAAGAUCAUCUUAUAAUUAUCUUAGUUAGUUCGUCUAUUUAGUUAGUUCUUAUUAUCCCUUUUCUCGCAUAGAUAUCAUGGUUGGAUUCCAUCCCCACGACAACCUGUACUACUCUAAUCAUGGCGAUGUUGGAUGGCUCGGAGAGGAGCCAGAGAAUGACCACCCAAUCCCUAUAGAUGGUCACCAAGUUGAAGACUUUGCUGAUGGGUCUGACUCCGAACCUGAAGUGGAGAACCUACCCCCAAUGGCUCUUGUUCCAAAUCCUAACCCUCGUCCGACUUUUCAUGGUCUGAUGCCCCCUUGGGUAGGAUGUUUGGAUACAUGGAGCGAAGAGCAAGAUCAACCUAUGUCGUUUGAUGGAGACCGAAGCUUCUCCAUCACAAGCGAAGGAAGCUCAGCAGACAGAAUUCUUCCAAUUCUGGUCCGUAGAGUUGCCCGAAACGAGAUUCAGGGCAUGACAACUCUCCAUCGUAUCACAAAGGUUGAUGUCGAUACAAGGAUGCAUACCAUCCGAACUAAUCUCCUGGAGCACAUUAAUGAGAGACCUGAGGGAGACCAUGAGACCCUACUACAAUCUCUAACUGAAACGCGAGCUAAAAUCAUAGAACUCCGAGUACGCCAGAGGGUGUACGAAAGACACAUUCUUGAUAUGGAACGUCAAUUGGCUGAACUAAGGGUUCACCAGAGGGAUGACUGUAACCAGUAGGAGAAGCUUUCUUUUCCAUCCUUGUUUAAAGGAAUCGUUUUCCUGUCUAUGUCCUAUGUGGCAUUUUCCUAUGAAACUACCUUGUACUGUAAGUACUUUUAGUUAGGCCUUUAUGCGGCCAAAACUUUCCUACUCCGGAUAUGAUGUAAGACCUUCUGCAAGGUCAAUUUUUUUUCCCAAACUUAUUACAUCAUGAACAUCAGGGAUAUUGACAGUCGGCUGAUUUCUGUGUCACCCUUUGAUCAAAUACUUUCAUCAUACUAUCGUUGGAGUCUAUCUGAAACCCACUCUAGUCAAGCUAUUGGACUAGGGUAAUUUAGCUCCGGGAUCAUUCCCAAUUCUCUAUCAAAGGUUGGAUCAUUUUAUUCACCAACCAAUGGUACCCCGGUUUGAACAACAAACGUCAUGAGACCAUUCUACGAACAUACUUCUACUCUGUACUAGGAUUACAUCAUAGGGAUGUAGGUCAAACCCUCGAGAACUUAUUUCUACUCUUUUCACGUAUGAUCGGAAUACAUCUAGGGUCAACCUAAAAUCGCUCACGAACUCCUUACCUUUCAUGUUGCAGAAUCAUGUCGUCAUCCGGAAAUGGUCAGCCGAACGACGAAACCCCUAUCCUUCAUAUCGAUGCAGCUACCUUUCAAGCUGCAAUCUCAGCUGCCAUGACUACUGUUCCGACUCACCUUAAUGCUAGCAAUGCAAAUGUUAGCGGAAUGGGUAUCAAUGAUUCCAACCCAAGUGACAACCAAGUACAUCACCGGGUAACGAACCACCACAACACUCCGAAUCUCAAGCCCAAGAGUAACAAAUGGAAAUUAUGGGAUAGAGCUAAAGGCAAAUCACCACAAGGGGCGAACAAAAGACAAUAAUCUGUGGCAGCCUUAGCGGCCACGACAUCUGUACCUCCCACUGCCAUCCCUACUAGUAUCCUAGUUAUCCCUAACCCAGCCAGACAAUAUGCUGGAAAUCUCCCAGAGUGCAGCAAAUGCAACUAUCACCAUCAUGGACCUUGUCGGGUCAUGUAGUGCUUAAACUGCAACAAAAAGGGACACACCAUCCGUUACUGCAAGACUCGGAUCCAACACAAUACUUCAACCACAAAUGUCGAAAUUUCCCAAAUAUGCCAUCUAUGUGGCGUAAUGGGACAUUUCAAAAGGCAAUGCCCAACAGAGAAGGGUGACGGGGGAACAGGAGGAGUUUGAACCCCAGAACCUUACUAUAACAUAGGUUCACUUCCUAUCGGCAGUAUUUAAGUAUGCUUUCAAACUGUUUAAAACUAGUGCAACUCGAGUCUUAUCUUUUUCAAGAUCCCGUUGGUAGAGGGAUCCUCGUGCUGCGUAUGCUUGUCUUUUGUAGUAUACCUUGUUCGCAGCAAUAGUCUUGUAAUUAAUCUACAGUACUGAAACUCUGUUAAAAGUUGAGCUUUUGUAUUUCUUCUGUAACGCCUUUAUGAAUCAAAUCUAAUGUCCUUAUUAUUCCGAAUAGUCCGACAUUUUCAUUUGACUAGAGUCCAUUCGAUCCUCAUAAUACCAGUUUCGGGGGUAAACCUCUUUCUCCGAAAUCGUCUUCCUAGCGAAACCGUCAUACAGAACAUCCCGAGUGUACGCGACUUUCCCGACACCUUUCCAGAAGAACUCCCAGGAUUACCACCACAACGCCAAGCCGGGUUCAGAAUCGACUUAGUGCCAAGGGCUACUCCCGUAGCCAAAUCUCCAUAUCGUCUGGCACCAGCGGAGAUGCAGGAACUUUCCAGUCAGCUUAACAAACUUCUUAAGAAGGGAUUCAUUAGGCCAAGCUCCUCACCAAGGAGAGUUCCGGUCUUGUUCUUCAAGGAGAAAGACGAAUUGUUUUGUAGGUCCAUCGACUACAGAGACCUCGACAAUAUCUCUAGCAGAAACCAUUACUAUCUGCUCGCAUAGAUGAAUAGGCCGACCAACCGCAAGGGGCGAUGUACCCUUCAGAAAUGGACCUGAGAUCCGAAUAUCACUAGUUGCGAGUUCUAGAGAAGGAUGUCCCGAGGACAAUCUUCCAAACUCGAUGCGGACGCUCCAAGUCCGUAGUGAUACCCCUCGGAUAGGACCAAUACGCACGUGGUAUUCAUGAACUUCAUGAAUAGGGUUCUCCAUUUUUUACUUAUCUAAUCUCGUAGUAAGAAGGAAACCAUCAGGAGCAACUACCACAAACCAUGGAAACAAUACAAUCAGAGAAGCUUUACACAAAGUUCUCUAAAUACGAGUUCUGGAAUUGAAGAGUCAAAUUCCUAAGACACACUUUUAGUGAUGUGGGAAUUCUGGAGGACCCUUUCAAUUAACCAAAACCGUUGAGAAUUUGUCAAAACACCAAAGACGUUGACCGUAAUUCUCCAAAUUCUAGGUCUCGCUGACCUACUGUCGUAGUUUAUUUAGAAGUCCACGCAAAUUACAAAACCCCUUACGACUUUGACCCAGAACGGAGCAACCCUUGACUGGGAAGAGAACCAAGAUGGAGAAACCCUUGGAAUUCCAAGUGAGAGACCAAAUUCUUUUGGAAGUCUCACUUUGGGAAGGCUUAAUACGCUUUGGAAAGCAUAGAAAGCUAAAAUCCAAGAUAAUUAGGACCUCCGAGAUUCUUGUCAGAAUCGGCCCUGUAACUCACAAAUCCAACCUACCCCACGAACUUAGUAUCGUACAUUCUACCCUCCAUGUCUUAAACUGGUAAAAGUAUCAGUCCGAAGAGACUCUUAAAAUCUCACUCGACAAGAUCGAGUUCCACAAGAGCCUCACUUUCGUAGACGAACCGUAGUGACCAUGGACCGAGAGGUCAGACGAACAAUUCAGACCCGCUUCCCAUUAGUGAAGGUUCGCUGGAAUGCCAACCGAGGACCUGAAUUCACUUGGGAGCGCGAAAAUCAAUCGAUUAUGAAGUAUCCCCACUUUUUGGCUCGAUUAUUCAUGCCUACUCCUUACCUAAACUCUAAUUUCUGGACGAAACUCCUUCUAAGGAGGGGAUGAUGUGACAACCCGAAAUUUCUAAUCUGUACAACAUGUCAAUUCAAUAGAAGUCAAAAUAGUUUUUGGAAACUUUCAAGCUUUUUGGAAUAAGUUUGAGUAUUUUAGGAUUAACCACUUAGGAGAUAUCAGGAGAGAGGAUGCCCUAGGGUUUAUUGUGCAACAAUAAAGUCCCGACACAUCAAAAGUUUAGAUUUUACGUCCUAAACAAGGAGUUUACGGCUGUAAACCCUAAGGGAAAGAGGUAUAAAGGUGACACUUAGUUAUUUUUACCAUUUUCCAACUUUCAAGAACAAAAACUCAAACUCUCUCAAGUAUCAUCCAAAGAAUUCUUCAAGAUCUUCAUCUAGUAAGUGUUUAUAGACCUUUUAAGUUAGUAUAUCACUUAACCUAGUGAUUUAACACACUUUUAUCCAUGAAAUUUUUCCAAAAGGUUGAUUCUUCAAGUUUCACCAAGAACACCAAGAACACACACUAGUGUUCUUGGACUUUUGGAUGUUUUUCAAGCUUCUAACUAGUAAGUACUUCUAUCCUAGAGUAUCAUAAGGCUUAUUACACUUCUUUACAUCAAGAAAACACCAAUGAAACCCAAGAUCAAAGGUGUUUACGGUCCAAGAACACCUUGGACCGUAAACCCUAAUUUAGGGACCAAAGUGACCCUAGUCCCUUCACAAGCUUUGGAAACUAGUCUAGACUCAUUCCUUUAUAUGUUUAGGACUUGAAAACAUCAAAAUACCAUAAUACAUAAUGGUUUACGGUAGUAAACCCAAAAGGAAAUGGUCUUAGGGACGUAAACUCCUCAAAGGAGUGAAAUGGUGCCCUAAUCUCUUCCAAGGGCUUAACCAUCAAGUAGAAAUGCUUCUAAGGACUAGUAGAAAUUCAAAAAAACACAUGGUCAAAGGAGCAUGAGUUAAUGACCAUAAAAUCAUGAGUUUACGACCAUAAACUCAAUUGGUCACAAAACCGUAAACUCAUGUAAGGGGUUCCCUUGAACCCUAAACUCAAUAGCAAUGUCCUAUAACACUUCGAUGCAAUCCUUAACACUUAUAACACCUAUAUAAGGUGUUUAACAUGCACUAGGAUGUCUUAACUUUAUUAUUUAGUUGUUUAAAGACUAAUUGGAUACAUAUAUGUGUUAUUAUAUGUUAACCAGGAUCUUUGUGUAUGUACAAGUCUUCACUUGACACUUAGAAUCCUACAUCAGUCCGUUCAUUCAAGCUACUCAUUUCAGGUGAGUUCAUACCCCUUAAUUAACCUUUUAAAUGUUUUUAAAUUUUUAUAGAUGUUUAUAAAUGCCUUAUGGGGGGAUACAAGUUGAAUCAUGUUUAGUUUUUAUAUUAAUCACAUGUGAUUAAUAACUAGCAUGCAAAUGGAUUUACUAUACGUUAACUGUUUUACCAAACAGAUUUCUUCAAAUGACUUCCUUAAACGUUUUAACAUGUUUAAAACUCUUUAUGAAACUGUCUUACAAAUUGUAUGUUUCCUUUCAAAAUCUGUUACAGUCGUGUUUCAAACAAAGGUUUUUCUUACACUUAAUCCGUCUUGUCAAACUGUUCUCAAAGCGUUUUAUAAACUGACAUCAAGUCAUAAAUUCUUAUUUAUUAAACUUUUCGAAAGGUUUUACAAAACUUCUUUUAUACUUUUAUAUUAGUUAUAUAUUAUGUAUACCUAUAUAGACAUAAAAGUUCCAUCAGUUAGUUCAGUUCCAACACUCUUGGGUAGCAAGGGUGUAUAAACCUACUUGAACACUCAACUUAAAUUCUAGUAAACUAUUAUAGGUAUAGUUUAUGAGAUACAAAACAUUAUUCCUAAUACAAGGAAUCACACCAGAUUCAAUUCAUUCAUGAGUCUAUACUACAUCAAUAGGAGGAGAUACUUUUACAUAGAUACAUCAAUGUGAAGAGAUACUUUUACAUAGAUACAUCAAUAUGAGGAGAUACUUUUGCAUAGAUACUAUAUGAUAAGAUACUAUUACAUAUUAUAUGUGUAGAUAUUAUUAUAUUACUAAUUUACUUUGUGAGACAUUCACAUAAAUGAUGAGGUAGAUUAGAUCUGUCUAUCCUAGUACCAAAGGAUACUGUAAGGGACUAACAAUUCCUACACCCAGCUGUUAGCCACAGUGGUAAAUGCACAUCUACGGAUGUCUAUGGUAGAUACCAUUAUAGGUAUACUUUAAGGUACUAACUAUUCCUACACCCAACUGUUCGCAACAGAGGUAAAUGCACAUCUACGGAUGUCUACGGUUAAUACUAUUCGAUAAUUCCUAUGUCGUGUUUAUCCUAGUACCAAAGGAUAAUACUUAAGUUAUUUAUAUUAUUACCUUUAUUUUGUGACACAUUCACAUAACCGAUGAGGUAAAGUAUAUUUGAGUAUCCUAGUACCAAAGGAUACAAUUUCUUAGGUUUGAAUAAUAAUAGUUAUACCAGGUAAAACCUGCACCUAUGUAGAGGUUCAUACUUUCAAAACGUUCGGGUCUUGGUAGAAGACUACCUUUUAUACUAGUAGGAAAUAUGGGAUUUUCUAGGGUUUUUCACACUUAUACUAAAUGUUUCAUUAAACAUUCACCAGGCUUUCAUAACAAUUUUUCAAAGCUAUGACAUUAAAAUACUUAUGAAUUCACCAGCUUUAUUGCUGAUACUCGCUUUCAAAAGAACUUGUAUUCUCAGGUCACAAUUAAACAGGUACCGAUGCAAGGUUAUAGAAGACGGAGCAGUCAAGACUCAUCUUUUAUUUUGAGUAUUCAUUAUCUUGUGUUAUAUUAUGAAAGAGCACACUUAUAAGCAAAAUUAUUCUAUUAAUGCAAUGGAUGAUGUUGUUGCUUGUUUACUACUUUACAUUGUUGUGAUACAUCACAUGACGUCCUCCGCCCGAGAAUAUUUCCGCCGUUGUCGGUUUUGGGGUGUAACAACAUAUUCUGUGCCCAUUCCAGUUAAAGUUGGCUUUGCAUAUGAGUUCUUAGAGUUCCCAAUUGGUUGCACAACAACUUGGAAGCAAUGACAAUCCCUUGAGCUGCCAGAUGGCAAGAAAUUAAGAUUGAGUUCAGUCCGUAUGAGUUUGGAUUUGUCAUUAUCCUUGUCUUGUGACUGUGGUUUUGACAAUUCAUGAAAAUGAUGGUGAGGAAACACUUUCACUAAGAAGAUUUUAGCUAGAUAGAAAUUGUGAUAUUUGCAUUCUCAAAGUCGUUAGUUGAGCGUGUGUGGUUUACCGGCACACUAACAUAGACUUGUGAGAAAUGGCAAAGGUCUAAAAAAUUGAGACUAUGAUUACGGCAUCCCUUUUCAUAGUUCUUAAAAUUGUUUAGACACACCUGUGAGCUAUCUAAGAUAAGGUGUAUGAUAUUGAUAAAGUUUUAUCAAAGCAAUCUAGUAUCAGAAAUCUGAACUUUGGUAAGAAAGUCAAUAAAGUAUUGAUUUCUAGAAGUCCAGCUGAUUUCUGAGUACAUGUCAAAGCUAGUGGGAGCAUAAGUGUUAUGCUAAUAAUCAUCAUGUUAGUGGGAGCAUGAUAAUUAUGAUAAGUAUUGCAAGUUAGCAAUGUUAAUUAUAGAAAACAAAAAAUUUCAAUUGGGAAAAAGUUGUUUUGCUAUAAUUAAGGGAGAGGAAAUUAUACUUCAUAUCAAAUCUAUAAGGUUUAGAUCUGAGGUUUUAAUCAUUUAGUCAAGGAUAUAUAUAUGAAUUUCAUGUUGGAAUGGCUCAACAUAAGGAAAUUCUGUAUAUGGGUCCAUUAUUUGCGUUCUAAAAUUCGAUUAUGAUUACGACAUCCCUUUUCAUAAUCUGAAUUAUGAGAACUUGGC
rnacentral:lncRNA from 1 species